rnacentral:lncRNA from 1 species
UUUACACAGCUCAUAGAACUGUUCUACUAUUACGUAUAAAUUUCCAGCCUUAUUUGUAGUUCUCCAUUCAUUCACCAAAACAAAACAAGUUUCUAUCAAAGUUCUUCAAAAUUGUUUUACUUUUCUCCUAGCCAUGUUUGAUUUUCUUUAACAUUAUUAACAACACACCAAAUCAUUUCUCUCUCUAGCUACCUAUGUCUCAAUCCAUGACUCUUCCAAUCCUUUUCCUUCUCUUCCUCGCCAUUCCAUUAUCCGAAUCUAAGCUCUCCAUCGACUACUACAAAAAAACAUGCCCUGACUUCGAAAGCAUUGUCCGUGACACUGUGACUUCAAAACAAAUCGCCAGUCCCACCACCGCGGCAGGCACUCUUCGUCUCUUCUUCCACGACUGCAUGGUCGAAGGCUGCGACGCUUCCAUCCUCAUCUCCUCCAACUACGUUAACACAGCAGAGCGUGAUGCCGACAUCAACCAAUCCCUCUCGGCAGACGCCUUUGACCUCGUGGCAAGAGCCAAGACCGCCCUCGAGCUAUCCUGCCCAGGCAUUGUUUCUUGCUCCGACAUCCUCACCUUAGCCACACGCAACCUGGUCACGAUGGUCGGCGGUCCGUUCUACAAAGUCCGAUUGGGACGGAAAGACGGACAGGUUUCCAAAGCUUCACUAGUGGAAGGAAAUCUCCCAAGAAGCAACCAAACCCUAGAUGACAUGAUCAAAUUCUUCGGUACAAAGAGCUUCACACUCCAAGAAAUGGUGGCUUUGUCCGGUGCACACACAAUUGGAUUCGCUCAUUGCAAAGAAUUCGCCGACCGGAUUUUCAAUUACAACAAAACUACACCAACAGAUCCUGACAUGUACCCAAACUAUGCUCAAGGGCUGAAGAAAAUUUGUGCAGACUACAAAACGAACAUUGCCAUGUCUGCCUUCAACGAUGUGAUCACACCCGGCAAGUUCGAUAACAUGUAUUAUCAGAAUCUGAAGAGGGGUUUGGGGUUGUUGGCAUCGGACCAUGUACUUGUUAAGGACCCGAGGACGAGGCCUUUUGUGGAGUUGUACUCGACGGACCAGGGUGCUUUUUUCAAGGCUUUUGCUCAUGCUAUGGAGAAGCUUAGCCAUCAUGGAGUUAAGACUGGACGUAAAGGAGAGGUCAGGCACAGGUGUGAUGCUUUUAACUCGAUUAAAGCUUAAUUAAUUAGAUGAUGUUGAAGAAGAAGAUUAUCGCCAAGGGUUGUCAAUGGCCAUGAAUUGAAUUCGGCAGAGAAUUAAAGAGACGGAUUUUCUUGUGAUUCAAUUGUCAUAUUAUAUAAAUUUUUAUGUAUUAUGGUGAUGAUAGCAAAAUUACAAAUCAUUUACGGAAUGAAAUGUAACCGCAACAACUGAAUCUCUCACUAGAAUAUUGAUAUGAUGCCUUACAAGAUCCCCAAAAACAGAACAUGAAGAUUGUUGGUACCAUAUUAUAUUGAGCCUCGUUAUUUAGGCUUCCAGACAUUGAGCCCAUGAUUCAUGUAAAAGAGGAGGAGCCCUUAGUCUAUAAAAGGUCUCCUCACCCUCACAAUCCUCAAGGUCUCAUCCUCACAUACAAAGCCACAAGGCUCACAAACAGAGAAACUCUCUCAAACUCUUUUUUCUCUGGGUACUCCCCCUCACACUUGUAAUCCAUACAUACAGUUACAGAGAAAUAUGAUUAACAUCAGUGUGGACGUAGCCCAAACAUUAGGAUGAACCACGAUACAUCUUGUGUUCUUUACUUUCUUGCAAAUUCACGGUCGGAUUUACGUUGUUCCAAGACUCCUCCGAUUUUGAUGAACAUGAUCCGCAGAUUUGCAGACCGGCAGAUACACGAACCCCAACCCUUGUUACAGUUACAUAUAUUCACUAUUACAAUUCAACAGUUACGGUCUACUUGAUCACCGGAACCUUACGAUCCAGGUGAUCACCAGAACCAGGAAAUCGACAAUUGUCUUCAAUAGAACAAGUUUCGGAAGAAAGAGUGCUUGGAGUGGUAUAGCAUUCAGGGAGUCGGAAAAGAAAUUACCCCGCCCAACACUUGAAAAAAUUUUCCCCAUUAAUUACAAACCUUGGUCAACAUUUAUACCCGACCUGGGCGCUUCCUCAUUACGAACACCAUUGAUGGAGGCAGAGAGGGAGGCAUACGCCGUACGCGGCACUUGCUGAGGGUGCUCUAUGGUUAAAAUUUGGGCGGCCUUGCCGGAAACGUCUCGUGCAAGAGUCAAUUUUUAAGCCUUUCGCCCCUUUCAGGUUGGUGGGAGAAUCAGAAAUUUCCAGCUUCGCAAACCCAUUCACAUUUUUCGGAGAUUAAACUCGGAGUUUAUAACCUUUUGACCCGAUUGAACUCGGAGUUUAAGCUAACUUUUGGGAAAUUGAGCGGACUUUAAAGCUUCUGUUCAACUUUCAAAAACUUCAAAUAUUUUUCUACAAGUUGAAUCAUCAUAACUAAUCAGAAUAGACGAUUGUUUGGGAUAAAAUCUGAACUUUGGGCCAGAGAGAAAGUCGGCCCAAACCCAAGGCCCAGAGGAAAACUUAGGAGGCAGGAAAGAGGCUUUCGGCUGGGCACAAAUUACAAAGGCCACCUGCUUACCUGCUCAAAGACCACAGGGGGUAGGUUAUUCAAUCACUGCACAGCCCAAUAAAGUACUUUAUUGGUGGCAUUCAUGUAAAAAAGCUAGUGAGUCAUCACCAAACCGCAUUCGGGCAACCGCCAUUGCUACAGGAACCCAAGCUGAAUCCGUCUAUAAAAUGAGGAAGAGAAGACAGAAUUAAGGACACUCAAUCAAACAAACAAAAGCCAAAACUCUGCUCAAGCCAGAUUUGCCUUCAACAAAGCUGUAGUCAGCACAAGCCUUCAUCCCGUUCGGGAUAAACCUUCCCAAACCCCUGUAAUAGCUCUGCUACCUUGUUCUUGUGGGUAUCGAUUCAUUUUGUAUCCUCUUCUCCCCAUCAACCCCUUCUGAAAGCUUUCAGACCUCUGAUAGAGCCACAAAGAUAGAUUUUGUAAGAAGUUCAGCCUUGGCCGAUAAGGUUCAAACUUGCCCGACUAUCUUUGCUCUAUCUUUGUCUUUUCUUUCUUUUAAAAGCACAAUAACAUGUUAUAUAUUCUCAGUUAUAUACAAGUUAUUUCUGGCAAAGUCACAAUGAAAAUGAGUCUUCAGCACUUGAAUCCGAUCUGAAUCACGUCAGAGUUUAGAUCAGAUCUGAGGCUUAAGCCCGCGGGCAUGUAAUUUAAAGAUCAGUUUAAAAGUCCUUGGCCUCAAGGCAUAAAAAAGAACUCUAUGUGGACUCAACCCAUCCACGACGAUCCUUGAUAAGCGAGAAGUCUGAAGUUACUUGGGGCGCAAGUAAUCAAUCUAUUUCUCCGUUUUGUUGCUAUUAUAUCUUGAUUCGUAAAAAAGGCUUAAGCAUAGAGUGAAUUCUGAUAGAAAGCCUCAAGGUCUACACCUAAGGCCCCACGAAGGCAUCUAUUUAGCUUCAUUUUAUGUUGCGGUCUAGUUGGUCCGAGUAUAAGGAUUAACUCUGAUGGGAAGCCUCAAGGCCUAUACCUAAUGCCCUACAAAGGCACUCAUUUGGGUUCGUCCUACCUCUUGGAUUCAGAUAAUCAAAGGUAUAAUAGUGAUAAAACUCUGGCAACCAUAAAAGGCAAAAUAUGAUACAUCCAAGCGCUGGUUUAGUUUGACAGGAAGCCUCAAGGCCUACACCUAAGGCCUCAUAAAGGCACCUGUUAUAUCUAACUCGGUUUCUCGGGCGUAUACAUAUUCAACCAAAGCUUAAACACCCAUUCAACAUCUGCCAUACUGAAGAUGGCAGUGGCACGCCUGAGCACGAUAAAGUUAAUCUUGAUUGUGAGCCUCAAGGCCUACAUCUAAGGCCCCACAAAGGCACCCUUUCAAAUUAACUCUGUCCUUCUCUUUCAGAACUGCCCGACGAGCCUUGCCCGAAGUGUGUCUUGCCCGACCAAGAUCUGCCCGACGAAGGCCUUCCCGAGCAAGCCCGAGAAGAAAGCAGGAGUACGACAGAUACCCUCAACCGACGCCAUUCUCCCAGGGGAGCUGUGUGCUCGACCGCCAGGAGAUUUCUGCGACGAACAACGAUCCUCUUGGUUAUUAAGUCAUACAGUUUUUCAGGUUCCUGAAAGUAAUUACUACCCGUUUUCACAAUUUGAUUUUCUUUUCGUACGACUGCAUUUUCCCGGUAACCAAACAGAUGGUAAAGACAAAUGGGUGUGAGAGAAGGAGGUAGAAGAUAGAUACUUCUCGAGUCUUGGCUUUAUCCGAGGAGAACUUGGAGACAAUCUCCAGGACUUCUCUGGAAGUCACCAUCGGAGGCCGCCGAAGCUCCGAUGACAACCCGGCAGUCUGAAUAUGAGAGACUGGAGCUAGAGUUUCGUUUCCCGGUGAGAAUUUGGGCAGUUUAUAACGGAGAAAAUGGCGGGAAGACGGUUGGUUGGGAAAGUGGAAAGUUGGAGAUGUUUGGUGAAGGGUUUACGACAGGAAAGGUUUAUAUUUGCGGGAAUACGUCCAACCAAGAAAAGGGAAAGACGAUGCAGGAAAAUAAUUUCUGUUCUUCUCUUCUUAUUGUUUGGGACCCCACCCCAGUCCAUUUGUAUGGGAAAUUUUUUAUUGUGACUGAAAUUGGUGAUAUAUUAUGUGUUUUUAAUAUGUACGUAGAACGAAAUUUUAUUUUUUAAGUUAUUAACUUUUUAAUACAUAUAUCACAUCAUUUAUAUAGUGACACGGGAUCACACUGAAAAAUCUCUUCAUUUGUACACGACAGUAGUUCUAAACAUGUGAAUUGUAAAGUUUUUAGAGGGAAAUUGGAACACAAAAUCUCGAGUGCAUGAGCGAAUGCUAUAACCGAGUUACAAGCCACUUGUCAUUUGGAUUGUAACUAUUUCAUAAGGAAAUGAUAAACACACAUUUUUUUUAGCUUCUUACACAUCAUUAUUUAAUCUUAUCUGUUGUUUUUGUAUGAUACAUUCAAUUUGAUGGUUAGAAAUAAGUGAAUUUUAACGAAAAACUCCUGGUACUAUUCACUUUAACGAAAAACCACAUUUUAAUACUAAAAAGUCAAUCUUGGUACUAUUUACUUUACUCUUUGUUUUGUCUUUAUCGUUAAAAUUCAAAGUUUUAAAACCCUUUUCAUUAGUUUUUUUUAGAAAUAAAGAGAUGUGUAAGAGAAAUUAAUUAAGAUGUGUAAAAUUCAAAUCCUUAAUUCGUAACCUAUGGGAUAGAUGCAAUGAUUGAAAUUCACUAUUACAUUCAGAAAAUGAAACUCAUACUCAGAAUGAUUGAUCCUUGGACCGGUUACGAGUCAAUCAAAGCGUAAGUGUACACGGAGUAGGAUUUUCUUCUUUUUCUUUUUGUUCUCUCAUUUUUUUUUAUUUGAACGAUCACGGUUAAAUCACGUUAACAUUUUAUAUUAAUUUUUUAUAGUAAAAGAAAGACAAAAUAAAAGAAUGUGAGAGUAAGGAAUGAAAAGAUGAGGAGAGAAAAUCUUAAUCCGUGUAUGACAUGAUUAAUAUUGUAACACGUAUUAUAAUAUGUGUGAAAUUAUAACAUCACCUGCAGUUACAUUGAAAACUUUAAUGUUUGUUUUUACUUUUUACAAUUCAUGCCCUCCUUGGAAGAGGCUCCUCGAUCAAUCAUUCAUGCAACAUAAUAACAUAUGUAUCCUAUUUUAUCGUUGUAUUACGAAUCACUAGUCACGGAUCUAGAAAUUUUUCUGAAAAAUAUCACAUAUAAAAUGUUCACAAAUAUUCUGUAGACAAAUAAUCCCCUACGUACUCAGUAGGAUAUUCAAAUAUUCAUGACAAAAUUUAAAUGGUUGGUUUGAUGUAGUGAGCAUUCAUCUUUGUAUAGUUGCAAUUUUAUCGGAUGUUUUAAAUGGAGGAUACAUUAAGACCUACUUCAAUCCUUGGAGUAAAACUUAAAUUUUAGGUUCUAAAUUUACCCUAACUUGCUCAAACCCUUAGGCCAAAUAUGAGUUUUAACCUAAAACUCAUUUUUGGAGCAAAUUUAACCCAGAAUUCCUCCAGGGUUAGUGGGUUGGCCCACCAUAUAUGUGUAUCUUUUUUUAGUUUUAUAUUUAUAAAUUAUUUGAAUUCAACGGUUACGAUCUAAUAUGAUCAAAUCUAACGGUAAUGAAAAAGAUCUAACGGUUCAAAUUUAAAUCCAACGGUUCAAAUAAUUAUAAAAAAAAUCUUUCAUGUGUUUCAUAUUCUUUCAUAGUGUUCCACGAGUUUCAUGGUGUCAGUUUAGUGAUUUUGCAAUGUUUAUUGAAAUCUAAAUAUUUUUAGGUUAAAAUGUUCAUAAAAUUAAAUUAGGAUAGUGUACAUAUUUUAUUUUAAAUGUUACUUAAAGAAUUCUAAAUUCAUUUUUUAAUGACCUCGAACUAAAAAUUUAACCCAUCAGGGUUGGAAUAGAAAACAUAUUUCUGAGUUAAAACCUAAAUUUUAUGGGUUAAAAAUUCUACGUUUUAACCAAAAAGUUGAAAAUAGUCUAAGCAUUCAUUUAAAUUAAAAAAUGAUGAUGGUUAUAAUAAUGGGCAAAAUUGCUUUUUGAAUUGCAUUAUUAAAAAAUAUGGGGCCAAAAUUGCUACACAGUAAUAUGGGGCCGCAACCCAACCAAAAUCAACCCAAUUAUUCUGUAAAUUAACCAACAAAGCUAGAAAAAAAAAAUUAAUAAGUUCAUAAAAAUAGAGGAAUUGUAUUUUUUUUUCCAUAAAUAAAACACAUAUCUGAGCCUUAAAAAAUUAGAAAAAAGUAAAAACAAUUCAGAAAAAAUCAGAAUUUUUUUUUACUAACUAUUUAUUUUAAUUUUAUAGUCAUUUAUUGUUAAAAUGACCCACAAUAUAACUUGCGCGACCUUUCAGCCUCUCCCUCGCAUUGAAUUCCAAAUUGCCCUUUUUCUGCCCUAUUGAUUUCCAAGAAUCUUUUGAAACCCCUUUGUCUCUAGCGAGAUGAAACACUACAAUGGUGACAUGACUUAGAAAGAAGAGGCUAAGAAGCUUCUAGCCCUGCAAGAUGCUCGACGACGACGAAGUUGGGUAAGUUCUGAACCAUUUUCCGCAGCAAAAUCCAAUUAACGCAGAACCAUAACUUAGAUGAUCGACCGAGUGAUUCGUUUUACAAAGUAGGAAGACUCAAAGAAUGGUUAUGGUGACCCUGCGCCCGCUGUGACAACUCAUAUACCUCAGGAAGCAGAACCUGACAUGGUCGACAGAGUGAAACACAUCCAAGACUCAAAAAUGGUCAUUGUGACCCUAUGACUGGUCAGGAAGAGGAGGACAAGAAGUUUCCGGCUCCUCGCAAGAUGCUCGACCACGGAGCAGGUUCAGUUCUGAACUAUUUUCCGGAGCAAAAUCCCAUCUAUGGAGAACCGUAACCUUGUUGAGAAUAUGGCGUUUAAGAAUGGGAAAAACAAGAACAAACUCCGGAAAUCAAAAAACAAAUAACCAAGAUAAAUAACACCAAGAAUUUACGUGAUUCGGCAAUAUGUGCCUACGUCCACGGGACAGCAGCAAUAAUCUUUCACUAUAUAAAUAAUGAGUACAACCAAUAAUCUUGCCAAAUCUCUAGAACUAGAACUUGACGAAAAACCUGAAAGAACAAGAACAAGAAAUACACUAUCUCUUUUCUUUUCUCUCGCACACACUUUACAAUAUUUUCUCACUCUAAUCCCUUGAGUGGUAUACAAUUUAUUGUUUUGCUCCCUCCUCAAAACUAGUACAAUAACACUUAUAUAGACAUAUUCUUCAAUAAAGAUUAUUAAUCCUAAUUGGAAUAUAGUUAUGAAUCCUACUCCAAUUGAGAAACUAACCCCAAUUGGGAAAACAAUUUAAUCCUCUAAGACUAUUAACCCUGUUUGUACCAUACUUGACCAAUCCCGAAACUACCGAGCACCGGCCAACGCUAUACUGUCAAGGACCCAGAAGAGUUCCCCUCCGACCAGGAGGCCAAUCACUACUCGACACGUGUCAAGAUUAGAAGCCAAUCAGAGCGCAGCACGUGUCGACAUCAAGAACCAAUCAUAACAUGACACAUGUCAAUGUGACAAAGCUACAAGUUUUUCUAUAAAUAGGGGUCAUUCCCCCACAAUAUUGCCUAAUGACAUUUUGUGUUAAAUCAUUCACAAGAACUCACUAAAUUGAGAGCUUGAUCCUUUGUACUUGUGUAAGCCCUUCACUACUAAUAAGAACUCCUCUACUCCGUGGACGUAGCCAAUCUGGGUGAACCACGUACAUCCUGUGUUUGCUUCUCUGUCUCUAUUCAUUUACGUACUUAUCCUCACUAGUGACGGAAGCAACCAAGCGAAGGUCACAAAACCUGACACUUUCUGUUGUACCAAAGUCUUCGCUGAUUUUGUGCAUCAACAUUUGGCGCCGUCUGUGGGGAAACGACACUUAUUCCUACUCUCUUCAGCUGUGUCAAGCUGGUUUCUAUCAUUCGUACACUUUCUUUUGAUCAGGCAUCCCUCUCCAGCAUGGGAAGCGAAGGAAGCCACAGCACACAGAAUGACACCCCCUUGCACAUAGUGCGAAACAACGAAAGAAGGAAGGAAAACGAGUUCUUCUUCAAGCUAAAGUCGAUGAGUUGGAAGCUCAGAACAACAAGAUAGCAAUGAGGAAUGAGGUCCUCCAGGAGCAAUAUGAGAAGCUCUUCGAGACACUCCACGAAGCUAGGCAAGCUCAGACACGCGAGCUUGUUGCCCCCGUGGAAGUCAACCAUCAACUGGGUGCCCUCCAACAUGGAGGGUCACAUGCAUUCGACAUAGAUAUCCCUGAUAGGGAACAAAUUACCCCUCGAUUUGAUAAUCAACAUGAGGCUUCUCUUAACCCAGUUGCUUCGACCCGAACCAUGAGAAGCGGAGGGAGACACCUCUUUGCUGAAGGGGCAGAAGGAUCGAAAGCCGUCUUUCGCGAUUGUCGGGAUUUCCUGAAGCAACGUCGAGAGAAUUCCAUCCAUAUAAGCUCAAAGAUCAAUGACCCAAGGAUUUCUGAGAGACUCGGUCCCCCUGCCACGGCCCGAGCCGGCCACCAACUUGGGGAAGGUGCAACAAGUCCUAGAGAGACAUGAGGGUACAGGGGACUCAGAGGUGUUCCGACAGACAUACCCUGGAAGCCAGUACAGCGAGUCCAGGGAAAAAUCACAUGCCCUUGAUCAAACCUUCCUAAUUCCAAGAGGAGAUGGAGAUUUACGAAAGAAAGCUCCAGUGGCACAUAACUCCGCUCAGGACCCCCUUGUCCUACAACUUCUUGAGGAAGUAAACAAGUUGAAGGCUGAACGUCAGGCUGAAAUACCUGACUGGAACCAACCCAGGCCUGGCCCUCUUACAAGGAGGAUCCUCAACACCCCCCUUCAAGCAAAGACAAAGCAGAAGCUUGGCUUGCAACUUUAUACUGGAAAAGAGGACAGAAUUGAGCACCUUAACCUCUUUGAGUCCACCAUGGCAUACCGGAUGCACACCGACGAAGAGCGAUGUCUUCUCUUCCCCUCCACCCUCUCUGGCGGAGCUCUAAAUUGGUAUUGUCGUCUUACACCUGAGACGGUAGACUCAUUUGAGGAAUUGAGGAAACUAUUUGUUUCCCAACACAUUUUCCAAACCGAUCGCUUGCACUCUGCAGAUGACCUGUACACUAUCCGCCAGAGGCCAGACGAGUCAUUACGUAUGUAUGCUGGCCGCUUCAGCCAUGAAUACUCCCGGUGUGCCGAGGCAGACGACAAGACUGCCCUCAAAGCCUUCACGGCAGGCCUACGUGAUUGUUUCUUUAAAUACAUGAUCAAUGCCAAUACUUGGAAGACUUAUUCUGAGGUGAUGGCGCAGGCUUAUAACCAUGCCUCCGCCGAGGCAAAGACAUAUCAGGAGAAACCCCCUCACCCAACGCCAUGGAGGAAGAACUAGCAAUAGCUAAAGUUUGACGGUUGGGAAGAUCAUCCAAUGUUUCUCUAGUACAGGACUCUAACAAAGACCCUGAAGACUCCGACAUUGCAGACUCAGACUUAGAGCUAAAGCUAGAAGAGCCCUCAUCACUAGAACUUCCAGACUCUGACAUCUACAAUAAGAAGAAACAAAUUCUAUCACUACAUGCAUGAUCAAAACAUAAGGAAGUUCCUAUAUUACCCACAUGAAGAUGGUGCAAAGCGAUGCCGGAACCCUUCUCAAUCAGAAAGCAAUCCGUCUUCCACAGUCACUACAAAACAAGCAAAUGAAGACCGUGUCAAGCGCCAAAAAAAAAAAAAAAAAAAAAAAAAAAAAAAAAAAAAAAAGCUUCAUCCAAAAAGCUUCACCUCCAAAACUUCACCCAAAAAGCUUCAUCCAAAAAGUUUCACCCAAAAAGCUUCACCUAAAAAAGCUUCACCCAAAAAAAAAACUUCACCCGAAAAGCUUCACUUAAAAAAGCUUCACCUACACAGCUUCACCUAAAAAAGCUUCACCUAGAAAGCUCCCUCUACAUACUUUCACCUACAAAGCUUCACCAUCAAAGCUUCACCUCGAAAGCUUCAUCUACAAAGCUUCAUCUACAAAGCUUCACCAUCAAAGCUUCACCCAAAAAGCUUCACCUAAAAAAGCUUCACCCAAAAAAAACUUCACCUCCAAAAAGCUUCACCCAAACAGCUUCACCUAAAAAAGCUUCACCCACAAAGCUUCACCUAAAAAGCUUCACCCACAAAGCUUCACCCAAAAAACUUCACCCGAAAAGCUUCACUUAAAAAAGCUUCACCUACAAAGCUUCACCUAAAAAAGCUUCACCUAAAAAAGCUUCACCUAGAAAGCUUCACCUACAUAGCUUCACCCAGAAAGCUUCACCUAGAAAGCUUCAACACCAAAGCUUCACCUACAAAGCUUCAACACAAAAUCUUGCUCCAAAUAAACAAAUUUUGUUCACAAAACCCAAGAUGCCCUUGAACUUGUACAAAAAACACAGGUCAACAAAACAUUUGUUUUUGUUCUACACCCACAACAUCCCUGUCAUAACCAAACAAGCAAUUAUGUAUAUGUUUCCAAACAUAUUAUAAUAGAUCCAACAACAAGCCAAAGUCCCAAGUUUCAUAAUGGACAAAAGUACAGCAAUUCAUCAAUAAUGAAGGUGCUACAAAACUUGGAAUCUGCCCCAAAAUAGAAAUCCAACCCAAGAGACUUUUUCUCUCUCUCCCUCUUCCGCCUCCUUUCAUCUAUCAAAUUUCUGCAACCUCUGCUCUUCUCCAAUGGAGCUGAAUUUUGGACACCCUGUAGUUUUUGAGCAUAUGAACAACUUUCAAGAAGGAACCAUUUCUGUUUGAGCGACGGAAAUUAAAGUGUUGAAGCUCCAAACAUGACAGUCGGAUUCUUGCAGAUUUCGAAGCUGCUAUGAUGUUUCGAAGAUCUGGAAAUAUUUAACCAUUAGUUCAUUCUGAAUGUUUGAUAUGUUAUGAAAGAGACGAUGAGGCACAACUUCAAUGAAGAAAGCAUGCUGAUCUGAACAAUAGAAAAUGGAGUUUCGAAGCUCACAACAAAUCUGACGGGUUGACAGAAAAAUAAUAACCAGUCAUUCAUCAUACCUGAAUUUCUUGAGUUAUAUAGCUCCGAGGGAUCUCAAAUUUGGAUAUGUUGUAGUUCACAAGCUGAGGAACAACUUCAAUGAAGAAAGCAUGCUGAUCUGAGCAAGAGAAAAUAUAGUUUCAAAGCUCACAACAAAUCUGACGGGUUGACAGACAAAUGAUAAACAGUCACUCAUCAUACCUGGAUUUCUGGAGUUAUACUACUCCGAGGGACCUCAAAUUUGGAUAUGUUGUAGUUCACAAGUUAAGGAACAACUUCGAUGAAGAAAGUAUGUUGAUCUGAACAAGAGAAAAUGGAGUUUCGAAGCUCACAACAAGUCUGACAGGUUGACAGAAAAAUGAUGAACAGUCACUCAUCAUACCUGAAUUUCUGGAUUUGUACUGCUCCGAUGGAUCUCAAAUUUGGAUAUGUUGUAGCUGACAAGGUGAGGAACAACUUCGAUGAAGAAAGUAUGUUGAGAUGAACAAGAAAAAAUGGAGUUUAGAAGCUCACAACAAGUCUGACGGGUUAACAGAAAAUUGAUGAACAGUUACUCAUCAUACCUGAAUUUCUGGAGUUGUACUACUCCGAUGGAUCUCAAAUUUGGAGAUGUUGUAGUUCACAAGAUAAGGAACAACUUUCAUGAAGACGACUUUGCGAUCUGAGCUAUAGAGAAUGGUGUUAUCUUGCAUCCACUCAGGCUGAUUAGUGGAAACAAAAAGCAAUUCCACCAAAGAAAAGAUGAAAAAGAGAGAAAAGCUACUAAUUGCACUUGAUCUUGUCUAGUCAAUAGCAUGCAGCAUCAAACACACAAAAGUUGGAAAUAUUUUUAGAUAAGGCAUAUGCGAAUGUGUGACAUCGAAACAAGGAUUCGUUACUUUGACAAAUUAGUAACAAGCGAGACACCUCAUUCGGCAACUCUCUUCGCCUGAAGACUUGGGGGACUCCCACCAUAUGUUACUGCACCUUAAUACUCGGCAGUCUCACAACCACUCAGUGACUUGGAUUUUUCAAGUCUCCAACCGAGAAGUUUUCCUCACUCGGGAAAUUAAGGGAACACUACCUCAAACUACAUGCUUCACUCACAAAGCUUCAACAAUACAGGUUUCAACAAAAGCAAAAAUUCAAAGAACUUUAUGAAGAAGGCUUUGGUGUAUUUAACACAAUAUAAUUGAAAUGAAGCAAAGCUUAUUUAUUAAUAUUUUCGAUAAGCCACAAAUAUGUACAUAUACAUGAGUCAAAAUAAACAAACAAAAGGGAGCCUUCACAAAGGUUGCUUAGGGGAAGUCUCAGCAGUCGGUAGAGCCCCAGAAAGAGAAAGCACCGGAGGGUGGUUAUCCGGAGCCUCAGUACUGGACAAAACCCCAGAAGGAGGAGGCAUUGGAGGUUCAUCAUUUGAAGCUUCAUUACUAGGUACAGCCCCAGAGGACGAAGGCAAUAAAUGCCUUUGGAACAAACCCACACUACUGAUGAUCAAGUAAAACCUUACCAUCAGAUUCCUUCAUCUGGUCAAGCUUCCUCUUCAUGUUUGUAGCAUAGUCAUGGGCGAGCCGGUGCAACUGCUUAUUCUCAUGCUUGAGCCCUCUAAUCUCCUGUUUGAGACUCAUCACUUCAGCAGCCAAUGAUUCAACUUGGCGGGUUCUAGCAAAUAGGCGUUGGGCCAUAUUAGACACAGAACAUGCACACUGAACACUAAGAGCCAGAGAGUCCUUAACAGCCAACUCAUCAGACCGUUUGGAAAGUAGUCUGUUAUCUUUGGGAGUGAGAAGGUUCCUGGCCACCAUUGCAGCGGUCAUAUCAUUCUUCAUCACAGAAUCCCCAACGGUAAGAGGACCAGUAGGGGAUAUGAAGGAUGGGCGCCAUAUGUUGUCUGGAGAAGGCGUGGCUGUCUCUUCUCCAAGGUUCAGGUCAAAACGACGGUCGGAGGGUCCAGACAUUUUCAAAUGUGUUGAAGAAGGAAGAGGUCAGACAAAUCAAGAUCUUAGAAGUGCAAGAAAUGAGCUUCUACUGGUAGAGAUUCAGGUGUGCUGUGGAACUUAAUGCCAGCCUCUAUAAAAAUCUGCACUCGACGGAGCUUCAGAAAUCGAAGAGGCGUUUGCUUUUCUCAAAAGCUGGGCUGCUCAGAGACCACGAGGGCCGAUCUCAGAAAUCGAAGAGGCGUUUGCUUUCUCAAAAGCUGGGCUGCUCAGAGACCACGAGGGCCGAUCUCAGAAAUCGAAGAAGCACCUGCUUUUUCAUCCUCGUCAGCACCUGUCACAUGCACAAUCAGCUUUGCGAAAAUUACGGGCAAUCUGUCGAAGAUUUCUGGUGAAGUAAAAAUCACGUGAAUCUUACUGUUCAAUCACCGCUCUCCAUAUGCACCAUCAACUCCUCGGGUACCACAUAUAACUUUGUCAAAGAUCUCUGACAAAGUUUAGGCACGAGAAUUUCGAAGUUCCAGCUACCCUACUAUUACCCAUAAGGGUAAAGGAACAGCACCACUGCUUGACAACUGGAAAGUCCCUAUGUGUGUCGACCUCCGUGUUUUGUGGCAAGACAGGUUGGCAAGAACGUCCAACCUUUACUCACAUUCGAGAAAAGACUCCUAACAUAAUUACUUUCUCAAAAACCGGAGUAGCACACCGCUUUCCGAAUCUCGAGAGUCAGAUCCUCGACGGGAUUGCUUGUUCGAAAACCGAAGAGGCACAACUCUCAGAACUUCGAGAGCCAGAUUUCCUUAGAUAAAGCUUGUCUGUAAUCUUCACACGUAAUAUCAGCUUUCCAGAUACCACAUACCACUUUUUCAAAGUGCUCUGACAAAAUUAAAACACGUGAAGCUGGCAACUCCCACUACAUUGCUGUGACCAAGAAGGGUAAAGGAAUAGCAUUACUACUUGUUAUUGGGAAAUCCCUAUAUACAUUGACCUCCCUCCUCAACGGACAGGCAAACCUGCAAAAAUGCUCAACCCUUUCUCGCAUUCGAAAAGGCACCCUCAACAUAACCUCUCGAAAUACUCAGCUUUAUUUCCCCCCGAUAAUACCUCAGCAAAUAAGCCACACCAAGAACAAGAGUAUCUCAUAUCAUCAGGGUCGAAAGCAAGAGUAUCCCAUAUCAUGCUUUCUCCCUAUCUUGUCUUUGUCCUUGUCCACACCUGCAGGACAAGGAGAAAGAGAGCAGUCAGUCGGAACCUGAAAUCAAACCUCCAAUUUGGAACUGACUGCCUGGAGCCUUUGCCUGGUUGCUUACUUAGCAUUGCUCUCGAGUACUCAUCCUCAACUGCUGUCAAAGUCACGAAUUCCACCGGCAAAUACCUCAUGACAGUUGAUCAGAUAUUGGCUCUUUACACUGAAGCUGCCAAGCGUGGAUGAGUCACUAUGAUGGAAUGUUCUGAAGGACCAUUAAAAUGCAAAGGUUGCACACCACUUCUGCCAUGCAAAAGAUUGAAGCAGAAGGUUCAACGGUGAGCUGAAACAGAUCACUACAGCACGACACCUUUCCAUACCACAUUCAUUAUUCCGUCAACAGCAAAAGUAUCCCAUAUCAUCAAGGUCGAACGUACUCUAGAUUUGAUGGACUUGUUUUGACCCUCAAAUUUUUGAGUCGGCCUUAUACUCUGAAGGGCACCAGAAAACCCUCCAGCACAGUUCAAGAAUAAGCCUGUGGAAAGUUACUUCUUCAAAAAGCAAAAGUAUCUCAUAUCAUCUCUUAUCCAUUUGCUUCUCCUUAUCCUGGCAGUUGAAUGAGAGACAAGGAGAAGGAGAACAAUCAACCGGAAGCCGAAGUCAAACCUCUGAUCCUGGGUUGCUUACUUGGAAGUUUGACUGCUUACCUUGUCUGUCACCUCUUUCGGCAGAUCUCCUAGCUCGGCAACUUGGGGGACUCCUACUAUAGGGUUUGUAUCACACUUGACUAAGCCCGAAACUACAACUAAGCUUUAAGUGAAAUUGAUACAUUACCUUGUGCGUCAACAUCAGCUAAGUACACCAUUCCCGGAUGGAGGAAAGGUACUUCCAGAGAAGGGCAGAUGAAGAUCAGACCACACUUCGGUACUUAGAAGUUUCGUGAUUACUCAAGGGAUUGGAUCUUGCAAGUCCCCAACUGAGGAGUUUCCCUCACUCGGGAACUUAGGGGAGCACUGUUUGUACCAUACUUGACCAAUCCCGAAACUACCGAGCACCGGCCAACGCUAUACUGUCAAGGACCCAGAAGAGUUCCCCUCCGACCAGGAGGCCAAUCACUACUCGACACGUGUCAAGAUUAGAAGCCAAUCAGAGCGCAGCACGUGUCGACAUCAAGAACCAAUCAUAACAUGACACAUGUCAAUGUGACAAAGCUACAAGUUUUUCUAUAAAUAGGGGUCAUUCCCCCACAAUAUUGCCUAAUGCCAUUUUGUGUUAAAUCAUUCACAAGAACUCACUAAAUUGAGAGCUUGAUCCUUUGUACUUGUGUAAGCCCUUCACUACUAAUAAGAACUCCUCUACUCCGUGGACGUAGCCAAUCUGGGUGAACCACGUACAUCCUGUGUUUGCUUCUCUGUCUCUAUUCAUUUAUGUACUUAUCCUCACUAGUGACGGAAGCAACCAAGCGAAGGUCACAAAACCUGACACUUUCUGUUGUACCAAAGUCUUCGCUGAUUUGUGCAUCAACAAACCCCAAUUGGGAAAACAAUUUAAUCCUCUAAGACUAUUAAUUCCCAAUAGACUUAGGACAACUAAUCAUGGGCUGGAAAAAAACCCAACAAUCUCCCCCUCCAGACCAUGAGGAAGGUAUACCAUAAUAGGAUUGCUCAUCUUGACCAAACUCCCAUUGAUCGAACUUUUCAUGACCAAACUCCCCCUGAUCGAAUUACCCAUAACCAAGCUCCCCUUGAUCGAACUACGAAUUAACCAAGACCCUCUUGAUUAGAUUUCUCUUGACCAGGCUCCCCUUGAUCACAACACCCAUCGUCAUUGGCAAAGGCAAUUAUAGACUUAUUUGCCAAAAAACCAUCAAUCAUCUGCAUUAAAGAAGCUCUUCAUCGUAAGUCACAACACUUGCAAUAUUGUUCCCAUCCUUUUGUUCAUUUUUCCAUUUACGACAAUGCUUCUUCAUGUGACCCUUUUUCCCACAAUAGUGGUAGUUGCCAUUGAAUCUCGUCUCACCAGAAUUUUUGCCUCUUUUCUCUGUGACAAAUAGUUGUCUAGCGCCUGCACCUGAAGCUUUUCUCCUUGUUUCUUCAUUAAACAUGCUAUCCUUAACGGCAUCCAUAGAUAGUAUACCAUUAGAAGUCGAAUUGCUUACAGUUACGACGAAGGUUUCCCAACUAUCUGGCAAGGAUCCUUGCAAUAAAAGUGCUAGCAGCUAUUCUUCAAUAUUCAAACCCACAGUGGCUACCUGAUUGAUCACGUUCUAAAAGUUGUUCGAGUGCUCGGUUACACUAACAUCUUUCGCAUACUUCAUGUUGACAAGCUCUUUGAUAAGGAAUGCUUUCUUGGCAGCAGUCUUCUUCUCAAAUAGGGAUUCUAACUUCUUCCAAAGAGCUUGCGCAUCAGUUUCUUUAGACACAUGGUGAUAGAUGCUCUCAUCCACCCAUUGUCUAAUUGUACCAAUAGUUUUACGAUUCAUCUUGGUCCAAUUGGCAUUAGACAUAUUUUCUGGCUUGCUCUUAACACCUUCAAUUGGCUCAUGGAGAUCUUUUCAAUAAAGCAUGUCCUCCAUUCUUGAUUUCCACGUAACCCAGUUGGAGCGGGUGAGUUUCAUCAUAAUUGAACCCUCCAUUCUAAAUGGAUAUCAGCCGAACCUGGCUCUGAUACCACUUGUUGAGAAUAUCACGUUUAAGAAUGGAAAAAACAAGAACAAACUUCGGAAAUCGAAAAACAAAUAACCAAGAUAAAUAACACCACAAAUUUACGUGAUUCGGCAAUAUGUGACUACGUCCACGGGACAGCAACAACAAUCUUUCACUAUAUCAAUGAUGAGUACAACCAAUAAUCUUGCCAAAUCUCUAGAACUAAGACUUGACGAAAAACCUGAAAUAACAAGAACAAGAAAUACACUAUCUCUUUUCUUUUUUCUAACACACACUUUACAAUAUUCUCUCACUCUAAUCCCUUGAGUGGUAUACAAUUUGUUGUUUUGCUCCCUCCUCAAAACUAGUACAAUAGCCCCUUUAUAUGGACAUAAUAAAGGUCUUCUUCAAUAAGGAUUAUUAAUCCUAAUUGGAAUCUAUUUAUGAAUCCUACUCCAAUUGAAAAACUAACCCCAACUAGGUAAACAACUCUAAUUGGGAAAACAAUUUAAUCCUCUAAGACUAUUAAUUCCCAAUAGACUUAGGAAAACUAAUCAUGGGCUGUUAAAAACCCAACAAACCUAAGGUGUUCAACGGAGUGAAACAUGUCCAAGAAUCAAAGAAUGGUAAUUGUAACCCUGCGCCCGCUGUGAUGGCUUAGGUAAACAAAACCUGACAUGGUUGAUGGAGUGAAACACAUCCAAAACUCAAAGAAUGGUCAUUGUGACCCUGCGCCCCGUACAACGGCCGAAACCAUAUCCUUUAAAAUUAUUUUCGGAAAAAAGCAAGAAAAGUAAAAACAAUUCCAAAAAAAAAAAAAAAUCAUCUUUAAAAUUAUUUUCCCUCUAGAUACAAAAUCAUAUCCUUCUCUCGUCCACAUCGCAAGAGUCCCUAAUAAUUUGCAAUUACAAAUUUACAGGGAACCAAGCUCGACAGAUUUGUGGGUUCAUUUUCUUUUUACAAAUCAAAUUACUAACCAGGUUAAAUUUUUGCUAGCAUGUUACGUCUUCUUUCAAAGGUUUUAGCUUCUUAUAUCAAAGUUACGAAUCAUUUAUUGCAUGGCAGGGUAAAUGAAAUGAAAUGGAACAAAUCAUUUCGGAGCUUGGUCCUUCCUCCAAAAGUUUAGUUUCCUCCAAUAUUUUAGUUUGGAUCUUAUAUUAUGAACCGUUUGGAAAUUAGACAUGAAACCUGAUGCCCAUGUAUCUAACCUUUAAAUUUUCAAAUAACACAAACUAUUCAUUUUCAAACUGUUGUAAAAUGAUUGUGAUUGUUAGGUGUAGGAUGAACUUCAUGGCAAAAGCGUUUGAGAACAAAACAGAAAUUUUGGACAGCGCAUGUCACAUACGGAGAGUAAACUUCAUGUCAGCUGCAUGCUUAGAUUAAUGGGUCUGAUCGUCUGGUCACUGGUGCCGAUGUCGAGAGCUGUUCGUUUACCACUUCAAGUGGCUUGUCGUUGUGGAGUUUUUUUAGGAAAAAAAAUGCUCAAACAUCAGGAUUUGUCUUUCUUUUCUCUGUUUUUUUUUUUUUUUUUUUUGCUUUCUUUUGGCUACAACAGAAGAGGGCACACAUGUAAUGCGUUUAACUCGUUUUUAAUACAAUAUUUAAGAAAAUUAAUUUAUAAUUGGAUUAAUCGCAUCACACGUGUGCCCUCCCAGUAAACACCUCACACGUGUGCCCUCCCAGUAAACACCACAACAUGGAAUUAUACAUCAAACAACGGCUCCAUACACACCACAACAAAAUGGUGUUGCUGAAAGAAAAAAUAGAACAUUCAAAUAUAUGAUUAAUUCCAUGUUAAAUAGUUCUGGGCUUCCACACAGUUUGUGGGGUGAAGCUUUACUUACUGCAAAUACCAUAUUGAAUAAGGUUCCUCUAAAAAGGAUUGACGAGUCACCUUAUGAGAUAUGGAAAGGACAUAAACCCACUUAUAAAACCCUUAAAGUGUGGGGUUGCUUAGCAAAGGUGCAAGUUCCGUUACCAAAAAGAACGAAAUUAGAACCUAAAACUAUUGAUUGCGUAUUCAUUGGAUAUGCAAAUAAUAGUGCUGCUUAUAGGUUCCUUGUUGUGAAAUCUUCGAUAUGUGUGGCAGCCAUGAUAUGUGUGUAGCAUAUUGUCUUGGUUUACUACUGCGGUGAACAGUUCAAGAUCUUCCACAUCCACUGCGUCACCAAGUAAACCCGAUAUGUUUUCACUAGGGUAAGUUCAAGUCCAAAAGACACUUCACCCGAUGCAUAUUAUGACUAUUCUCUCUCAGUUUUAGGCAGCCUAGUCACACAUUUGCAUUUACAUUUGCAUUCAAAUGUGGGGUCAUUGUUGGAGUUUGAAUGAAAUUUCAACUCAAAUGUGGGGUAUUGUUGGAAGUUUGAGUAGAAAUUUUCUUGUCCCACAUUGGCCAUUCCCAAAAGAGUUUAUCACUUUAUAAGGCUUUAUCCUUUAAAGAAAGUAAUUGGAGUAAUAGGCCUGGAGACUAUAAUUGGGCUCACCCUUGGGGUUGGGCUUUGGGGUGUAAUAAUUAUUUGGUAAUUAAUAUAUAAUUAAUAUAUAAUUAUUCGGAAUUAAGUAAUUAUUUUUAGGAAAAGACUCAUCCUUUCAGAUGAAGUCUGAAAGUUCUUUCUGAACACAGAGCAAAGCACCCCUCUGAAGAGAUGUCUCCCAACAGUCACACCCCAUUUUCAUACCUGUUGCAAACAGGCAUCCAUCUGCUAUAUAUACAUCCAUAUGCAUGGCAUUUAGAACACAGAAAUAAUAAACUUCAUCUUCUACAUUCAUAAACCUUCUUACUGAGAGAACCACAUUAAUAUUCGCCAGAAGUCUAUUUUCCGGUGCUGGAAUUUCUGACUUAGAUCGUUGAAUCCUGGUGGAACAGACGUCCGUAGAACUACAAGCACAGAGUAGGGACGAAAUUUCUGUUUCAAGGACAUUGCGGUACGCAAGCCUCGAUCUUCAAGUUGUCUGUUUUAUAAUUCAUAGUCUAGUUUAUAUUCUGUUAGUUUCUAUUGCAUUUCUUAUUUAUUAGCAUAUAUAAAUUAUCACAGAUUGUUGACUUAUAUCCAACAGGUUGUUGAGAAAACUGAAUUAAACAGGUUUUUUUUGUUUUGUUUGUUAAUUUUCUCGGAAACGUAGUUGAUUGUUGUGUUUCUGAAAAUUUGAAAACAAAAGAAGAAGGUGUUUGUGAAGUCGGUUUCGACGAAGAAGCAGGCUAAUACUGUUAUAAAUUUAUGUUUAUGUCAUUAGUUAACCAAAUGGCUCAAGUUCGCUGCAAAGAGUGUAAGAAUAAACCAUUAUGUAUUCCUUGCAUGCAUAACUGCUAUGCAUUAAUCUGCUCUGUAUCCUUUAAUACUUCUGAUUAAUAACUUACUAAGAUGUUGGGUUAAUUGAGUUCGUUUUGUUAGAAUGGCCACCACUUUUUGAAGUGAUUUUCUCUGGGUAGAAUCCAGCAAAUGAUGUUUGAUAUGGUUAAACAUAUAUAUAUUUAAGAUUUUGAUCUCGUGUGAUUUGGCAAUACUUUUCAGCUAAUAUUCCUCUCUCUCUCUCUCUCUCUCUCUCUCUCUCUCAUGAAGGCACUGAUUGCAUUAAAAAAAGGUUCCCAGUUAAUCAAGUAUAGCUGGAAAGGGAAGCCAAAACUUCAUCCAUUUCAAAAUUUCUACUGUGAGUAAUUUUCCUUUACAUUAGGAUAUUGGAUUCAUUUCAUACUAAUAAGUUUUUUAUCUUCAUCUUCUUCCUGCUAUGCAUCUCCACGAUCUGUACUAGAUAUCUUAACCGCUUGAAUGGCUUCAUUUUUCGUAUCUUAGAGGAUGAAACCACACUAAUCUGGUAUUCACAUGGAGAAGAACGAACUCUGAAAUUAGCUUCUGUCUCUCGAAUUAUCUCCGGACAGAGAACAGAGUUUAACUCCACUACCAAUAACUAAUCAAUAUUGUUUUGUUUCAACUCAGUAAUUGUGCGUUUCAGUCUAUAAUUAUGAACCACUAUUGAGUCCUACUCAACGUAUGUGGUUCAAAAAUUUGGUUAAAACCGAGGAUUGCUAUUUUUUUUCAAGCUAAAAAUGUAUAUAUACAUAGUUUAGGAAAGGGAUGCUUACAAUAUAGAAUGGCUAUAAAUGUUAUUGUAAUAGGUUGCUAUUACAUUUUGUGGUUAAAUCAAAUUGGUUGUCUAAACCAUGCUAUGUGUUUCGUAACCCUAUGUAUUUCUUAUUUGUAUCAGUGGAGUUUAUAUUUUUGUUUUGUCAAAUUUGAUUUCCUCUCAUUCUAAUUUGAUGGAUAUUUUAGAAUUUGAGAAGGUGGUUGUGGUUUCAUGCGAUCGCCGUUAUGCAGCUCAGACCUUCACGAUUCACCACUGUCACCCCAUCACUGCCGUCGUGACCAUCGCCGCCACAUCACUGCUGUUGAAAACACUAGGUAAUUUGUGAAUUAGGGUUUUUUUUAUUAUGUGAACAUCGCGGUUGAAAACACUAGGUAAUUUGUGAAUUAGUGUUUUUUUUAUUAUGUGAAUUUCUGGUUUAUGGAUUUAGGGUUUUUGAGUUAGUUUUUGUGAAGGUCAUUGUUUGAUUUUAGGCACACUAUAAUCGAUUACAAGUUUUCAGAUCCUAAACACUUUGAUAGGGUUUCCAGAAAAGACAUCUUUCCAAAGGCGCGUAGUGACACUGUCGAUUUCGUCAACCAAUCUUCACUGGAAGUUUCUCUGUCAUCCUAUAUAUUGCAGCAUUAACACAUUUGAUGAGAAAUUUUCAGUUUCUGGUCACUUAAGAUGGCAGGAAAAUGGACACAAUAAAUUAUCCAAGGUCUUUAUCAUGCUAGAUGAGAAUUGGAAAGUGCCUGAAAUUAUUGCCUGAAAAGUUAUCUGAAAAUAAUGGAAUAAAAGAUUAGUUUAUAGGUGUAUGCACUUAAUAUUGGAUAUAUGGUAUUUUUCAGGUUAUUUGACAUACAAUUGCAUAUAAUCUCAAUUUUCUCUUGCAAUUUUUGUCUGAGCUUCGGAAUCGUUGAAAAAUUUGUCUAAAUAAUAAAUUAAUUGAAAUGGCUAUUAGUAAUGAAUGAGGUAUUUACUGUGUUUUUUUGGUGUGUACAGAGCCAAUGGUAUGUUGCUAACGAAGGCAAAAACAAUAUGCAGUUUGCUGCAUAUAGAAAACGGACUUGGAUUCUCUACCCUCCCAUUUAGGUGCCCUUCCCGUGCCCUCCUGUUUUGUGUGGUCACGUUUAAGCCAUGUCAAUAUUUUAUAUUAUUUUUUUAUAAAAAUAAUAAAAUAAAAAUAAAUAAUAAUAUAUAAUGUUGACGUGGUUUAACCGUGACCACAAAAACAUGAGGGCACGAGGAGAGUACAGAAAUUGGAGGGCAGACAAUCCAAGUCCAUAGAAAACGGAGGUUAGUUUGGUUCCAACUUCUUUUUUUAGUUUAUUUGAAUAAAAAAUUGGUAAGUUCGAGUCCAAUUUGAUUAUUUCUUGCUUUCCUGCUGCCUGUCUGCUCUCCCCCUUUCCUGCUGCCAUCCAUUGCCUUGAACAAAAACAAAAAACAAAAAAAAAAAAAAAAAAAAAAACCCAUUUGCCAAAUCCACAAAGCCAUAAAAAAAGACAAGUAGAAUUUUAUAUUCUCUACCCACUUUUUUUCAUGAUUGCUGUUGCCUUCUUUUUUUAGAAAGGAAAAGUCUGGCUCUCCUUGGACAAUACCAUCUUUCUCAAAACAUGGAUUCGGAAAGACAUUUGAUAGAAUUUAUUUUGAGUCCAAAUUAUUAAAUUAGGAGAGCUAAGAAGAUAUUAAUAGGGGUGAUAUCCACACAUCUAUUUUUACUUCUCACACAUCCUUUGAUAAUUUAUGUCCGUUGAUUUUCUUCAAUUCAUCCGAUCCGACGGCCGAAAAUUAAAAAGGUGAGCAGUAAAAUGGGGUGUGUGGAUAUCACAUCCCUAUCCACACACCCCUAUUAAUAACUCUGGUUAUCUCUUUUGGCUACCACCUUGCUCUCCAUUUCUCUUUUUCCUCCUGAUCUGCUGCUUUUUUAGUGUUACAACCUCUCUGCAAAAAACACACUCUAUGUGUUUUGCAUGUUUUUGUUCAUGCUUCUAUUCUUUGUUGUUGUGGUGGUGACUCUGUGAAUGAAAUUCUCAGUUAUCUAUUCCUCUACAAUACAUGAGACAUCUGAUUUUUGUUCAUUGACAGAUGAUGCCACAUGCUUGAGAUUUUUAUGCCAUCACUAUGUUGGUUCGUCUGUGAUUGUUAUUGUUUGUUUUAGAAUGUGUAUGCUAUGUGUCAUGCAUAGAUUAGAGCAGAGAUCCAUGAUUUAAAUUCAACAUAAUCCUCACAUCAAACUUAGUUAAGUUCGAUGUUGUUUUUUGAAACUUAGUAUGCUGUUACCAAUAACGUUAAGUUUAAAUCAUUUUAUCAUAACAUUAUGUACUUAAAUUUAACUACUAAUGUUAAGUAAUAAACUGACGUAACAAAACAAUAUUACAAGAAUCUUCAUUAACGUAAUUAAUAAACCAAUCAAUAUUUCAUAAUUUUUUGUAAGUGUAUUAAUAUCGAUCCAAAGCCGCAUGGCAUACCUGUGUGGUCAAAUCUUUUGAUAUAACAAUCUACUCAACGUUUCCAAUGUAAAUAGCAUUAAUCUUUAGUACAUUAAUUCAAAUAAAAUUGUGGCUCAAGGGAACAGUCAAUGAUCCACAUGGCAUCAAAGUAUUUUACUAAAGUUUAUAUUACACGUGUGUAUUGCAUUAUGUGUGUGCGAAUACCUUUUUUUCACUGUCAGUCUAUAUUAGUUUUGAUUUCUGAGUUGAUUUAACAAACAUGUUUCUUUUUAUUGCAGAUUAAUUUGGUUCUCGCUAAAUGAAUCAAAGAUCAUAGGACUAGAACCAGUGGUUUCCAAAAAAGGUUGGUUCUUGAAUAGUUUAUGUUGUACCGUAUAUUUGGUCUCAGUAUUUGGGCUUCAUUACUUAGCCCAUGAUUCAAGUAAGAGGGGAGGAAACCCUUAUUUUAUAAAAGGGCUCCCUCAUACUGGACGAGAGGGGGGAAACAGACAGAGGGAAAACGGGAGAGCAAACAAAAUAGCAAAGAAAGCAAACACUGCCUCUAUAGCCUCCAUGUAUAUUCAACAUUCAUUUACAUAGUGAAACGAAAUCAACACUAGUGUGGAUGUACCUCAACUUGAGGUGAACCACGAUAUAUCUUCGUGUUCUUGUGCGUUUGUGUGAUUCACGGUCGGAUUUACGUUGGUCCAAGAUUGAUCCGAUUUUGUGCAUCAAUAUUUGGCGCCGUCUCUAGGAAUCGACAUGAAAGCUAUGUUGGUUCUCUCUACUUUUACAUCUCACUAUCGUGAAACCCUCACAACCUCCACCGUGAAUCUUCAGAAACCCAAGAACCAAACACCUGCAGAGUCACUGCAAAACCCAUGUCUUCCGCUCCAGCUCUCAGUCACGAUAGCAGCGAUGGAAACACGACAGAAACUCGCUCUCUUCUCUCUCAUGGUCUCACCCGGGAUUACAGCACGAGGUCGAUCUCCGCCGUCGAGCAGGCCAAGACAAGUUUAAGAACCAGAAGCUCUUCAUUUGGUUUCCUGUGAAAGGGAUCAGAGUCAAUGUACCAAGUUCCAACUUCAUUUACUUUGAUGUCGACGUCGUCGACCAGCAGUUCCCUUCGUCUACUCGAAACGUCACUACCACGAGUGGAAUCGGGGGACUCGAACUGUCAUCACCACUCAACUUAGAGACGCCAGCGCUGAAAACUGGCCGGAGGCAUUUCUCUGAAACUACCGCAUAACCACUGCUUGGAAAACCCACAAAGAAGCUAAGUCUUCUUCUAAUUCACCAACUUGUUUAUUAUUUAAUAUUUUAUUAUUAUGUUUGUUACAUGAGUGCGGCACUAACUUGCUCUAAUAUAUACAUACAUAUAUAUAUAUAUAUAUAUAUAUAUAUAUAGUUCUCUGCAUUUUCCUCUUUCAAAAUUACAAGCACAUUGCAAGUUUUCAAAGACAAACUGUAUCCACCCAAUUCCAUCUGCCAAAAGAUAAGUUUGAGAACCAUGAGCUCUUCCUCUGGUUUCCUGUGAAGGGGAUCAGAGUUAAUGUACCAAGCUCUGACUUCAUUUACCUUAAUGUCGGCGUCGUCGACAAGCAAUUCCCUUCAUCUACUCGAAACGUCACUACCACCAGUAGAAUCGAGGGACUCGAACUGUCAUCACCACUAAACCUAGAGACGCCAGCGUUGAAAAUUGGUCGGAGGCAUUUCUCUGAAACUGCCGCAUAACCACUGCUUGAAAAACCCACAGAGAAGCUAAGUCUUCUUCUAAUUCACCAACUUGUUUAUUAUUUAAUAUUUUAUUAUUAUGUUUGUUACAUGAGUGAGGCACUAACUUUCACUAAUAUAUAUAUGGCUCUGCAUUAUUCUCUGUCAAAAUUAUAAGCACAAUGCAAGUUUUCAAAGACAAAUUGUAUCCACCCAAGUCCAUCUGUCAAAAGAAAAAAAACACAUUUACUUUUCCUUUUCAGCAAACGUUAUUAUGUUUCUCAAUAUCAUCUAUUUAAUAUUUUAUUAUUAUUAUUUUAUGAUAUUUGUUACAAGGUGUGCCACCUCCUUUUAAAAUAACAUAGCUUUAAUCAUUUUUGAAUAUUAUAUUCAUUAUUUAAAUGUUGGAAUGAACUUUAAUGACUUAGAGCACACUACACAAUGCAAGUAUACAGAUUUAUAUUUAUUUAAAUAUUUUAUUAUGAUAAUACUCUUUUGUCGUAUCAUUACUACUAUGCCAACACAGGCUGCUAAUACCACAUACCUUGUGCGUCCAUGCUUGUCAUCAUAAUACGACUUUAUCAUGAUUAUUCCCAAGUAGGAAGUCUGAUACAUCACAUAUUUUCACUUUUCAUUAUUAGGGCAUAGUCCGCAUUCCAUAAUACAAAGUUACAUAUAUAUACACAUAUACUUUAUCCCUAUAGUCAUCAUGUAUAAAAUUAUUAUACUCAGAUUGUUUUCCAUUAUUUUUCACUAGUGACAUAUAUUUAGCCCAAGUACUUAUGCAAUAUUUAUUCACUACCUAGUGUCAUGUGAUUGCCCUUAAUAAGGGCAUAUAUGAUACAAAUCAUUUACCACAUAACUUAAUAAAUUAUUUUUGUAGUAGGCACAAACUGGUAAUUUGAUUUAUAACUUUGACAAUUGAUUUAUUAAUUAUGCAUUCAUGCUUAUACUAUUAUUUAUUGUCAGUAAUGAUUGAGCAACUAGCUCUAUCGAUCAACAUUGUUGUUGAUUAAAAAAGCCUACUGACACUAUUGAUCAGGCUAUAGAUCAUUGAGCCACAUGCUUAUGGUGACAAAGAUUUAGUCUGACUGGUGAUCUCUUGUCUGACCGGACACCCACUUGCUCAGACACUUGCUCAUUUGGAUACCUAUGUGCUUGGACACCCGCGAGCUUGGACACCAAUUCGUUCGGGCACUUACGAUAUUAGACACUCUUGAGCUCGAAUCCCGACUCACGGACCCAAUUUGUGGACUCAACUCACGAACCCAAUUUGUGGACCCAACUCACGGACCUUACAGAUGGCCCUGACUUAAAGACCCGACUUGUGGACCUAAGAGUUGAGUCAUAAUGAGCGCACGCUGACGUCGAGUGCAUACUCACAAUGAGGAACGCCACGAGCCGAGCCGCCUUGCAACAAGCACUGCCUCCAGCCGUGCAACCACCUCGCCGCGAGCAUUGCCUCUAGCCAAGCAGCUUCGCAACGUGUGAUACCUCUAGCUGAAUAUUACUUUACGUUGAGCAUUGCCUCAUGUUGAGUACUGGUUCAGGACAACAUCUAGUCAUUUCGGCCUACACAUGGUUUGGUUUUGAAGUCUCCAGCCAAAAGAUUCACCCGACACAUAGACCCAUAUACGAACCCAACAAGCGGAUCUGAGUCAUGUCGAGAAUUAACUCAUAAUGAGCUCACGCUGACGUCAAGUGCAUACUCAUAAUGAAGAACGCUACAAGUCGAACCACCUCAUAAUGAGCACCGCCUCUGGCAAAGUAACCGCCUCGUUGCGAGCAUUGCCUCUAGCUGAGCUGCCUCACAACGUGUGCUACCUCUAGCUGAGUAUUGCUCCAUGUUAAGCAACGUCUCAUGUCAAGUAUUAGUUCUGGACAUCUAGUCACUUCAGCUUGCAUAUGGAUUGGAUUUGAAGCCUCCAGCCAAAAGACUAUUUUGACUGAAGACUUAGGGGACUUCUGUUGUACUAUAUAUUGGGCCUCAGUAUUUGGGCUUCAUUACUUAGCCCAUGAUUCAUGUAAGAGGGGAGGAAACCCUUAUUCUAUAAAAGGGCUCCCUCAGACUGGACAAGCGGGGAAAUAGACAGGGAAAACAGGAGAGCAAACACUGCCUUUAUAGCCUUCAUGUAUAUUCAACAUUAAUUUACAUAGUGAAACGGAAUUAACACCAGUGUGGACGUAGCCUUAACUUGAGGUGAACCAGGAUAUAUCUUUGUGUUCUUAUGCGUUUGUUUUCCAGCUCGUUGCAAGGUGGCUUGGCUCGUGGCGUUCCUUGUUGCGAGUAUGCACUCGACGUCAGCGUGCGCUCAUUAUGAGUUAACUCUUGGGUCCACAAGUCGGGUUUUUGAGUCGGUGUCAUUUGUAGGGUCCGUGAGCUGGGUCCACAAAUUGGGUUCGUGAGUCGGGGUUCGAGCUCAAGGGUGUCCAAUCUCGUAAGUGUCCGAUCGAAUGGGUGUCUAAGCACAUAUGUGUCCAAAUGAGCAGGUGUCCGAGCAAGUGGGUGUUUAAUCAGACAAGAGAUCAUCGUUCGGACUAAAUCUUUGUCACCAUAAGCAUGUGGCUCGGUGAUCUAUAGGCUGAUCAAUAGUGUCGGUAGGCUUCUUUAAUCAACAACAAUGUUGAUUGUUAUAGCUAGUUGCUCAAUAAUUCAUGACAAUAAAUACAUUAAUGCAUAAUUAAUAAAUCAAUCAACAAAGUUAUAAAUCAAAUUGCCAAUUUAUGCCUACUACACAUAAAUAAUUUAUUAAGAUGUGUGGUAAAUGAUUUGUAUCAUAUAUGACAUUGUUAAGGGCAAUCACAUGACACUAGGUAGUGAAUAAAUAUUGCACAAGUACUUGGGCUAAAUAUAUGUCACUAGUGAAAAGUAAUGGAAAACAAUAUGAGUAUAAUAGUCUUACACAUGAUGACUAUAGGGAUAAAGUGUCACAUCCCGGCCCGGGAGCACGCCUUGAUUCUUGAUUCUUGGAUCGGGGCGUGUCAUAAAGUAUGUGUAUAUAUAUGUAACUUUGUAUUAUGGAGUGUGGACCGUGCCCUAAUAAUGAAAAGUGAAAAUAUGUGAUGUAUUAGACUUCCUACUUGGGGAAUAAUCAUGAUAGAGUCGUAUUAUGAUGACAAGCAUGGACGCACAUGGUAUGUGGUAUUAGCAGCCUGUGUUGGCAUAGUAGUAAUGAUGCGACAAAAGAUUAUCAUCAUAAUAAAAUCUUUAAAUAAACAUAAAUCUGUAUACUUGCAUUGUGUAGUGUGCCAUGAGUCACUAUGUUAUUUUAAAAGGAGGUGGUCGACAUCUUGUAACAAAUAUCAUAAAAUAAUAAUAAUAAAAUAUUAAAUAGAUGAUAUUGAGAAACAUAAUGAUGUUUGUUGAAAAGGAAAAAGUAAAGGUGAUUUUUUUUUCUUUUGGCAGAUGGAAUUGGGUGGAUACAGUUUGUUUUUAAAAACUUGCAGUGUGUUUGUAAUUUUGGCAGAGGAGAAUGUAGAGAGCUAUAUAUAUUAGUAAAAGUUAGUGUCGCAUUCAUGUAACUAAUAAAAUAAUAAACAAGUUGGUGAAUUAGAAGUAGACUUAGCUUCUUCGUGGGUUUUCCAAGCAGUGGUUAUGCGGCAGUUUCAGAGAAAUGCCUUUAGCCAGUUUUCAACGCUGGCGUCUCUAGGUUGAGUGGUGAUGACAGUUCGAGUCCCCCAAUUUCACUGGUAGCGGCGUUUCGAGUAAACAAAGGGAAUUGCUCGUCGACGACGCUGACAUCGAAGUAAAUGAAGCUGGAGCUUGGUACAUUCGACUCUGAUCCCCUUCACAGGAAACUAGAGGAAGAGCUCCUAGUUCUCAAACUUGUCUUGGCCUGCUCGACGACGGAGAUCGGCCUCGUGCUGUGAUCCCAGGUGAGACCAUGAGAGAGAGAAGAGAGCGAGUUUCUGUCGUGUUUCCAUUGCUACUGUCGUGAUUAGGAGCUGGAGCGGAAGACAUGAGUUUUGCAGUGACUCUGUAGGUGUUUGGUUCUUGGGUUUUUGCAGAUUCACAGUGGAGGUUGUGAGGGUUUUACGGUGGUGAGAUGUAAAAGUAGAGAGAACCGACAUAGCUUUUCGUGUCAAUUCCCACAGACAGUGCCAAAUGUUGAUGGACAAAAUCGAGUCGAUCUUGAACCAACGUAAACCCGACCCAAUUUUGUGCAUCAACAUUUUCAUUUAUGCUUUUUCAGUUCUUUGAAUGGACUUCCUAUAAUCCAAAAUGAGCUAAUGAACAACUCUUUUGCUACAUUGUGUUUUCAAAUCAAUAUUUAGGCUAAUAAUUGAAGGCUGAUUCUUUUUUUUUUUUUGAAAAAUGUAAUCUAGAUUCUUAAACUGUGGCGAUUAAUGUGGUUUUUAGGUAAAUUUUCCGAGUGGGGGAGAAGGGGUGGGUGGGCGCCCCUCAAUUGGUAAAUAAAUAUUUAAAUGUGCAAAACAUGGAUAUCAUGGAAGAAUUCAAAUGUUUUUCCUGCACUAGGUUGGAGAGCAUGAUCAUUUUCUGUUUGCACAUCACAAAGUUUGUUUUGAGUACUUCUCACGCCAUUGAGGCACAAAUGUUCUUCCUGCAUUAGUUAAUUUUCUUUAUAUCAAAAUUUAAUAAAUUCAAUUUUCCUUUGUAUCCAAAUGUAUUAAAGUAAUUGUGAUUGAGGUUUGUUUAUGUCUACUUUCCAAGAUUUAUUUUUUGUUUACAUGUCUCACUUUGUUUAUGAAUGCCUUUUGGUUAACUGAAAGAAUGCUUUUCAUUCUCGAUUUUCAGGACUUUAUCUACCUUUUACAAGUCAACUCCACAAUACCAAAGUACAAGAGAAGCAAAGAUUUGAGGUGAUUUUUGCUCUUAACUUAUUUAGAUUUUAUAUUCUGGGUUAAUUAUCAACCGGAUUCUAUUACUAGAUUUAGAAUUGUAAUUUGGUACCAUUGCUGCCUCCUGCCUCUUCGGUUUUCACAUCAUAAUGCCACAAAAUGCUAAUUUUAAAUUCUAGGUUAUGGGUAAGAAUUAGUAUUUGGAGGCACAAAUUCUUUUCAGCCGCUAGACCAAGUUCUAAAUCUUUUUUCGUGUAGUUUACAUUAGGCUAUUCAAGCCCUAUUUUAAAUGUAUGAUUGGUUUGCGUGAAAUGAAUGAAAAAGAGAGUUAGAAUACCCUGUGAGAUAAUCGAUUCCAGAAACCAUUUUAAAUAAAAUGUAUCAAAAGUGUUGAACGGAGAGUGAAAAGAUUCUUUGCAUGGAAAACAUAUUUAACUUUGUUUUCUUUACUCAAAGUGCUCUUAUUUAAUUUGGUUCUGUUUCGGUUGCGUAGUUCAUGGUUCGCAGCGACGAAGAAUCGUUUCCUAAGAAAUAUAUUGAGCUAAGUUCUUUUUGGUAGGAAAUGAGGGUUGUUGAUGUUAGCAAUGGAUUGAGUCUUUCUAUUUGGUAUGAUUAUAUCUCUGAACAAGCAUUAAUAAAUAGAACGAUUUCGAUCAAUAAUUUUAUUCAGUCAAGAUUCAAACUUCCAUUGUAGAGCAAACUAUAACUCAAACUCCCAUUGCAGAUCAAACUAUAAGUCAAACUCCCAUUCUAGAGCAAACUAUGAGUCAAACCCCCAUUUCAGGGCAAAUUGGGAACGAGGAGAAGCAGUAGGGCAUGGCUAUUUCCGGGGCAUCGGUUGUUUUGAGAUUCUGGUGUAAUUAGGUUUGAAAAUUCUGCUCCUUUGCUUUUUGAUUUGUAUACAUCUCAAAUUUCUCUUAAUUGCUAAUGGAUUUAUUUUCUUUGGAAAUUUCAGAAAGUCGGGUUGUGGGAGGACCAAGCUGGUUUGUUGUCAUUUUUAGGUAUAUAAUCAUCUGCCCUGAUAGCAUAUUCAAAGCCUAUUUAGUUAUAUGGAUUUUUUAUUUAUCUUUCUAAAGCUUUUGUGCCUGGAUUUUAACUAUGUGAUUGGUAAUUAUUGGUAAUUACUUAGCACGAUAAUUGUCAAGCAUAUGAUCGUUAUUCAUGAAUACAAAACCUUCAUUCACAAAUCACAAGUAUAUGAUGAGCUAUUUAGAAAUUCGGCAUUUUCAUCAUCCAAUUCAAUAGCAUUUGGGAUACUAUGCUAGAAUUCUAUUACAGCUCCAGUUAAGAGAUGUGAAGCAUGAAGAAUAUCUCUUUAGGAAGUGUUAGCUACUUUGGUUAAUUGGUCAAUGAAAUUAGCCAUUUUUGUCAUUUAGAUUGGAUAACCUAGGAAGAAUGUUAGAAUGAUUGAUCACAUUCGUUAGCCCUAUGUUUUUUUAUUGCAUAAUGAUAGAAUUGAUGCACCAUUUAGUCAUAGUAAUUGAUGUAAUAAGUACGUAUCAAUUCACUUAUCUAUCCCUCUCUUCAUUAAGGUAAAAUGUAUCUUAUUCAUGCAGUUCAAAGUGAUGCAUUCAAGUCCCACAACAACGUACGGGCACACAUUUUCUAGUUCGAACUAAAUUAACAAAUUGAGUAAUCGGAAUUGGACAGCAAAGUAAUCGUGAUUGUUCGUGGAUUAACAUAACACGACGACAAACUGGUAAUCAUAAAGAAAGAUAUAAUCAUAAUAAGUGAAACCAGUUAGGUGGUGGGUUCAUGUUUGUUGUACUAAGAUAUUAUCGAGAUUUACAUGUUUAUCGUAACAGAGAUAUAAUUUGAACAACUAAUAAAACAAUUCGUAGUUCUUGGUUCCUCUAAACUGUUUGUAGUAAUUUGUAAGAAGUAGAAUUAAGUCCCUACUGAAAAACGGAAGGAAAAACACUUCAAUUAGCAGAAAGUAGCAUAGAUUUUUAGUUUAAAUGACGAUUUGUAACUUUUAUCGGCGAUUUACAAUGUUUUACGACGUCCCUAUAUUUAAUGACCAUUUUAGGGUUUCCUACGUUUUCCGAAGAUCUUUAGCGACAAUGUUUUUUGCUGCUAACCUCCACAACAAAAGGUAUUUGCUAUAGAUAUGCCACAACAAACUAUCAUAUUUAUAUUUUUCAAAAUAUAUUUUUUCGUGCAAAAUUUAUUAUAAUUCAUAUUCAAACACUUGUAAUCAACAAUUUAAAAGCUAAAUUUAAAGAUAUUUGAACCUUUUUUUUUUUGUUAAUUCUUCUUUUAUCAAAAUCCAAAUUACAUAUUAAUAGAAUAUUCUUUAUCAACUAAAAGAGGGUGAAAGGCUAUUUAACAAAACAAAAUUCACAAAUAAUGCUCAAACUACAAAUAAAACAAAAUCUAUUAUAACUGGCAUGGUGAACGGCUUUUUGAAGCCCCACACUCUCACGACUUGUACAAGUACAAAAGAAUAUCAUUAAACCGUAUUUCUAUCUAAUAAGGAAGUACUUGGUUGUGUAUAGUACGUCUUUACUUGAGAAAACUAAAGACGUAUGAUUAAUUUUUGUUUCUCCAACAAGGAGUAUCCAUGACAAAAAUUCACUAAAUCAAUAAUUGUUUAGCUGUUAACCACCACGGGAUGGCCCAGUGAUUCGGGAAGAAUUUCAAAGUUGUAUUCCACACGAUAGAGCAUGAGGUUGAUUCCCGGCACUGAUUAAUAACACAAUGUUGAUCAGAAAAAGACUAAAAUAUCUCUAUGAAUUUUUUCAACCCUAAAAAAGGAGACUGCCAAAACUACCAACUGAUCCCUUUUUAAAGCAAGGACACCCUAAGCCUUUCUUUAAAAAAAAACAAAACAAAAGCAAAAAAGAACACCCUUAACAUUGAAAACCUCAACCCCAAUGUAUAGUCAAUUCACAAACUAAACCCAUUUUUUGUAUUUUAUUUGGGAUGUGAUAUCCACACACCAUUUUUUACUUCUCUCACACCCUUUUAAUUGUCGGCCGUUGGAUCGGAUGAAUUGAAGAAGAUCAAAUGAUAGAAAUUAACAAGGGGUGUGAGAAAAGUAAAAAAGGAUGUGUGAAUAGCACACCCCUUUUAUUUAUGUUAGUCUCUGACCCUGAAUUAAUGACUAGGAAAGGCCAAACGAACCCUAAUAGUCAGAAACUGACCAACAAUUUAGUGGAAUCAAAUCCAUUGACUUCUAUUAAAACAAAAAGAUCCAUAUCUUAUCUUUUACGUGUCUUACACUCUUAGGGCCAUAAACAAUGUAAUGUGCAAUUGACGAAAGAAAAAUCACGUGCAGACAUUCUUUUUGACCAAACAAAGAAUCUCAACCCCUUUCUAGAGAUUUCAUAGUCAUAUUAUAUUUUUAGGGAAUUUUAACGAAAAACUCGUUCACUUUAACGAAAAAUCAUAUUUUUCCAUUAAAAAGUCAAACCUAGUACUAUUUAUUUUACCCUUUAUUUUGUCAUUAUCAUUAAAACUCAAAAUUUUCGAACCCUUUUAAUUAGUUUUCUUCAUAUUUUAUCAUCAACUAGAACAUGCAAUAGAAAUGCUCAUAAACUUAGUACAGUGUUUUAGUUUACUUCUUCAACCUCUUCAAUCUAUAAAACUAAAAAGAGUUUUAGUUUUUCACAUACUGGCUGUGGGAACAUAAAAUAUAUUGAUCAAUACGAAUACGUUCGGUAUACAACUUAUCAAAUAUGAUUACUCUGCACUUGACAAAAUAUGCGGCUUAUUAGUCAAAUCCUAAUGAGCUAAUGGGCCAUGUUUUCUACGAUGGUCCCAUAAGCUCACACUCAACAGGCCUCCGAGUUCAAUUCAUCACAGUUGAUCGCCAUGUGACAUAAGCAAAUCAUCCUGAUAUGUAAUGGGUUUGCUUAUCAAUAUCUUAGCAUGGCAAGACUUUCCAAAGCAUAUUUUAGGAAUCUCAUGGGAAUUUCAUCGAUGUGCAGACUAGGUAAUGCUAACAGGCUUAACGAACCUGGACGCUAGAGUUAACUCCUCAAUUUUCACCAUACUCUUAUUACUUCUUACAGUAUUUCGGACUACACCAAUGUUAAUCUAACUUCAUUUGUUUUAAUGUGGGUAGGUUUUUGUCAAUUCAAUUCGAAAUGGAAAUUUGAUUCCAUACUAUCAAAUCAAUCAUUUUUUUCUGUUCAAAUAAGGGUGAUGUUUGUUAAUUUAAGUGAAGAAUACUAACUGAACAUGAUAUAAAUUUGACAGUAGUGUAAAUUGACGAACUUUAAAAGGUUGCGUAAACUUGAAAAUCAAUCUGAAAGACGAAGACAAAAUGAAGAGUGGAUGUGAAUUGGAAGGAACAGUCCUCCUUCGAAAGGGAGAGGGGAAAUAUUGUGGCAAUUUUACUAUUUGUUUGGUCAAAAAAAAAAAAAAACAGUUAACAACAAACGAAAUUGAUAAGACAAAAAGUAAUUCUUUGACAAGCAAUAGAGGGCCAGUAUAGUCCAAGCCCGAAAGCUCUUUUUCUUCAUUUCUUGCAAUAAUAUAUUAGGGUUUAGAAACUACUAAUUAAACAAAUUUCAUUGUUAAGCAAUCUACUAGGCAUCAACACACACCCCAUCAUCACCACGUUUCCAACACCAACCACCAUGCAAGACAAGAUGCCAAGGGACAAGAGCAAAAGUAUCAAAUCCAUAAACCUAAUUUCGUUUGUUCUUGGUAAUCCAGCCUAUUAAGUAGUCUGAAGUAUAAAACAAUUUUCAUCAUUUGAUUUUUUAAAAUCAAUCUUCGUUGUUUAUUUUAUGAACUACUAAGUGGUCUCAGGCUAUUGAAAAAUAAAUAAAUAUGAACAUGCUUAUUUCUUACAAGUUAACAAGCAACAUGAAUGCCUCCACUGAGUUGCAUCAUAGACAUACAAUCUUUUUGCCAAUUACUAAUUCUAUUUUUUUUUAUUUCUUUCCUCCAUGUUAAAAAGUUAAUCAGUUACAAAGUGAAAUGUUCAUACAAUAUUUCUCGCAUAAUAAUCUUUUUUUAUCUUUUCCUAUCUUUCAUUUCUUCCAUUCAUCAUAAAAAGGGUAAUCAGCUACAAAGCGAAAUUGCACCAAUUUAUAUAAUUCUUCUAGGCUGCUAGAAAACUAGCACAAUAAAAUUUAUUAAGUUGUGAGGCGAGUUUCCACCUAUACUUACAUCGGUCUCCCACAAUAUCGAGUUGACAAUAAUAAAAAUAUAUAUUUUUGGUGUUAACAAGAACAAUAUGUUUUCGGCACAUUUGCAACCAUAGAAUCCAAAGAAACUAAACUACAAUCUAAUAAUCUCUUCUUUUUGGCACAUUUGAGAAAACGUUCCCAAAUUGUUUGCCUUUUCUUUUGCAAUGCACAACUACAAUCCUCAACCAAGAAAUGGAAUGCCACCCUCGCCAAGAAAUUGCAAUCAACUAGGCGGCAGUUCUUGCUAUGGCUUGGAGCCGGCGGCAGCUCCCUCUAGUUGCCUUUCAGUUAUGGCGACUUCACUAUCUCCCUUAAGCGCGAAUGCUCCGGAUCCAACUAGAGUGGCGAAUGGCGAUAGUGCAAAUUGAUUUGGUCAGAGUGUCCUCCACUAGAAUGAGCCGACCGGUGUUUCCCUUCUCGGAUGGUGUAGUUUUGUCGUCUUGCCCAGCGAGUGUUAUGGUCGUACUUUGGCAUUGAGAUUGGUGUUUCGUCUUUUUCAACAACUCGGAUGGUGUAAUUUUGUCGUCUCGCCCAUCGAGUGUUAUGGUCGCAUUUUGGCAUUGAGAAUGGUGUUUUGUCUUUUUCAACAAUCACUUCGCGUGGUCUCGCUCUUGUAAUAACUUUACACGGCUUCGUUGUUUGAUGAUGACUGUUGUGGUCAUCGUCGACGCAUAUUUUGCUGCGUCUGUCGUUCUUUGUGACCGAUUUCUAUGGGCAACAUUUAUAGUUUUGUGCGUGUGAUAGACGUAUAAUGGUUUACAGUAAUUGUGUGUAUUUAUGUAAAUUCAUUCCAAAUUAAUUUCAUGGACACUAGAGCAAUAUACCCAAUCGGCACCUCUGGAUUUGUUUGGAAAGAUCAAUGAAAUACACACUAUAAUUUCUAGUAAAAAAUUGGCCACAAGCCACAAAAAGGCAAAAUUCUAAAUGGUUCUUAUCAAUCAAUCUUUUUUGAAGCCAAUCUAACAUUCCAAAAUCCUUAAUAAAAUCUUACUUACAGACACCAAUUAACACUAAAAUAUAAUUAUCCUGAACAAAAAAGCAAAAAAGACAACACAAAAAUAAAGGAGACAGGACCAUCCCCCGCCAAUAAUUACACCGGCCACCGCCGCUGACGCCGUAUGCCACCACACAUCCAAACUCAGCAACGAGUCAUGACUCGACCUUGUCAACUCAGCAGCAAUUACAUUUUCCUGAAAUAAUAAUUUACACCCACUGAAGAAUACAAAAAAAACCCAUUUUCUGUAAUAAUGAAAAAAGAUAAAAUAAAUUAAAUUAAAUUAAAACGUAGUUGAGUUGGCUGUAUGCAAGUUCCUCCCAACUCGGUACCGAGUCGGACCGAGUCCAGCUCCUGCACCCGAGUCCAACACGGAGUCCAAAUUCGGCUCAUCCUCCCCCCCUCUCAUCACCAUCAACAGCCGCUUCGCCUUCUCUCUCGCCCGCUCGCUUCCAAUCUUCUCGAUCUCACUCAACACCUCCACCGCAUUGGCCUCCCUCGCCAGCCCGCGAAAUCUCAUCGAUCCGUGACUCAGCACGUAGAGCGCCGCCACGCAGUUCUCCCGAGUGGACUCGGAGUCCAAGUCUCCCCGCCUCCUCAGCAUCCCCACCAAGCACUGCACCGCGUUGGCAUCGAGCAUGGCGGAUCUGCCCUCGUUGCAGCUCGCUAGAUUGCACAGAAUCAGUAGAGCUCGGCCCGCCGACGCCGGAGACUUGGCCAAGGUCAACAGAGUCGGCACCGCGUUGUGUUGCUUAACGAGUCUGACUCGGUUGCUCUCCACCAGUGUCAAGUGAUAGAGCGUCAACGCCGAGUCGUGGCGCGUCCGCUCACUCUCCGCCCUCACGAGCGCGUGCAUCAGCGGUGGCAACGCGCCGAGCACGCCAAUCGCAAUCUUGUUGUCUUCCUCCAACGCCAAGCUGAAGAGCGCGCCGGCGGCGUGCUCCUGCGACUCACUGGAUCCUCCCUUCAAUACAUCCACCAAAUACGGGACGAAUCCUGACCGUACGAUCUUCACCUUGUUGGGCUUCUCCAGAGACAAGUUAACCAGCGAAGCGACGGCGUUUUGUUGCACGGUGCUGUAUCGCGACACAAUCAGCGACAGGACGGCGGAGAGUAGCCGGGGAGUGCAGAGCGAAAUCCUAAGCUCCUCCUUCGUCCUCGUGAGCUUCCGGAGUAAAAUUACUCCUUCCUCCUGGUCGAUUACCUCGGGGCUUCUCAGCUUCGUCAUCAAUUGAUCUUCCUCCUUGCAUUCCGGAGACGAGGAAUUAGGGUUUAAUGUUUCGAGCUCGGCGGUGAUUUCGGAAGAAGACGCCGAGGAAUAACACGACGGCCGAGUCGCGAACGGGAGAGGAAUAGGUGGACUCGCCGACGGGAUGACCACUGACUCCUCCGACGAGCUCGAGUAGAAAUGGUCGACUCGGCGGCCCAACUCGGUCGCCGCGUGCAAGAACCUAACCGGCGGUUUCUCCGCCAUCCCCCUCAGCAGCUCCCGCUCCGAAACUCUAAUUCCAGGGUCUUCCCUAUCCUCCUCCAUCACCGCCCGUAUGGCCUUAUCGAGGGAGAUUGAAUCGGGUGCCUGCGGGUACUGGGCGUUGUUGUGGUCGCACCAGUUCCGGAUGGUGGACUUGAUGGCUAAAUUGGGAAUCAUGGUGGAGAAAUCGGGUCGGGUCCCGUCUUCGAGCUUGGGAGAGAAGCUCAAUUCGCGGCAUAGUUGGACGGAGAGGCGCUCGAAGGUCUGACCCGAAGAGACGACGACAGGGUCGGACAUUAAGGACCCGGAAAUGGGGCACAACAGCUCCUUCGGGGGAUUCUUGGAGCUGGAAUUGGAGCGGUAGAAGGUGAUCUUCCACCUGUGCUUGCCAUUACCGCCCAUACUCAAGGAGGAGACUGCGGUGGCGGGGGCGGCAGAGCUAUCAGUUUCAAGAAUUUUGGGUCGAUCGGUUUUUGAGGGAUUGGGUUGUGGCGGUGGUGGACAUGAGUAGGCUUAAUUAAGGUACUUUUUUUCUAGAAGUUUUGGGUCUUGUUUAGUGUUUGACUUCUGUGAAGGAUUGACCUAAUCUUGGUCUAUAAGCUGCGUGAGCUGUUUGUUUGACCAGUCAUGGCAACACUUUCUGGGGCAAAAGUAAAACUACUUCGUUUUUGUUUAUUAUUUUUGGAGUGAGGAAAAUGUAAAAAUUUCUGUGGUUUUCUUGUGUAUUUUUUUAUAUUUUAAAAUAAAUGGUAUUAUUUACUUUAAAAGGGUGAGUGAGAAUCGAACCUUUCAAUAGCGUGGUUCAAUUCAUUUUUGAAGAGAAUCGAACAUUUCUUGUGUAAGGAAAAUGUGAAAAUAACUGGUGUUUGGUUCAAUUCCUUUUUGAAGAGAAUCGAAUAUUUCUUGUGUAAGGAAAAUGUGAAAAUAACUGGGGUUUUCUUAUGUAUUGUGUGUUGUUUUUUAAGAAUGCGUUUUGGUAUUGUAGUCAAAUUUAACAGAGUAGUGUGUUUUACGUUUUUAUUUUUUUUAUCACAGUUCGAAUUUUCUCUUUAUAAUUUCAAUUUACAUGGCUAGCAUAAUAGCAUUUUUUCUGUUCUCAUCUUAAGUUUUGUUCUUUAAAUUAUUGUUGCAACCUUUUUAUUCUGAUUUUCUUUUUCUACAUUCUCAUUCCUUUCAUGAUUUAUUAAUGUUUUUUUAUGAUUGAAGUCGUCUAUUUUCAACAUCUCUCUUAUAGAUCAACUCCAUUCAAAUUAAACCCUAAAUAAAAAAAUUAUUUAACCGUUUAAUUAAUAUUGUCGGAAUUUUAGUGUUUAAUUGAAAAAAAAAAUGUCUCAUUAGAUGCAUAAACGAUUUUGAAUUUAGUUAUUUUUUUUUUUUGCAAAAUGGUCUUUAAAUAGUGAUGUAGAUGACAAAUAGUUCUGAUCAUCAUCGUAUAAGAUUGCAUGAUCAAAAGCUCGAAAUGAGAAGGUAAUUGCUUGCAUACAGCAUACCUAUACUUAUUUAAUGGUUGAACUUAACUCGCUUGUAGCUUAAGAAUAUUUACCUUCACAUCUAGCUUCUUAAGUUUGGUUCCAAAAAAGUUAGUUUUGAGAUUAAGCAAUACAAUUUUUAAGUUAUAUUUAAAAUUUAAUCUAAUUGGUAUCAUAUUGAUGAGUGGAUUAGAAAAUGGGAAUUUUAACGAAAAGCUUCCGGUACUGUUCACUUUAACGAAAAACCAUAUUUUUACACUAAAAAGUCAAUCCUGGUACUAUUCACUUUACCUUUUAUCCUUAUCAUUAAAACUCAAAAUUUUCAAUCAUUUUUCAUUAGUUUUCCUUUAGAAAAUAGGAUAAAGGACACCAAUUUAGUUUAAUAUUAGAAUGUUAAACCUACUACUUCUGUAGACCAAUGGAACAACAAUAUAGUUCUGUUAAACAGUCUUAUUCAAGGGAGAUUUCAACAUAUAAAGAGUUAGAAUAGAUGGAAAUCUGGUCAAGAAGUUGAAGUUGGAUAAUUCAUCUCCUUGAUUAAAGAUUAACAUUAAACAAAUAUGCAAUUAAAAUUACAUGGUUUUGGGGUUUGCCAUGCUGAAAUUUGUAUCGCUUUAGAGCAUCUUCAGUAGAGUAGAUAAAUGGGUAGUCAAAUUCAUUUUGAGAAGCCAUGUUAGCAAAAACACGCUCCAAUUGUGUAAUCCAUUGAGUAGACUACUUUUUGAGAGUGAAAUCUAAUCAGACUCUCAAAAGUGAGCCUCUUUGACAUUUCAUAUUUUUGCACAUUGUUAGCAUUAAACUAUAACGUGUCAAGAAAUCUGUAGGGCCUCAUUUUAAAAGUCCUCAUUAGCAUUUCCAUCUUAGAUAAACAGAAUGACAGUUGUCAUACUAAAAAAUUCCAAGAAGAGUGUAUUUCAACUACUAACCAUACGUAUGCGAAGCUUACGAAAUCAUAGAGAGAUUGUCUGAGAGCCUGGAGUUUGAAAGAGUCUUUGUCACGGACUCUCACAUGCCAGAGUUAGUGGCUUCAAUGAUCACUUUAGGUUUUUGAAUUAUGAUUGAGAACUUAGGUUAACUGUAAGUCGGCAAAUUUUUGCAGAGCCUACCAAACCUUGCAAACCAGAGCUGCAUUAAGUCAGGCAACUUGCAUGUGUAGAGCUAUAGUAGAGAACCGUCUUAAAUUUCUGGCCCCGGCUUUUCUGCCCUUCUAUUUUCCAUACUCUCAUUUUCUCCAAUUUUGUGCGGUCCCGCCAUGUUAACAUUUUAUACUGAUUUUUUUACAGAAAUAAUAAGACAAAAAAUAAUAGUAAUAUAAAAUAUUGACGUGGUUUAACCGUAACCGUACAAAUAGAAGGAGAUAGAAGUGUAUGAGAAGUGGGAAGGCAGAGAAGCUAGGUAAGGGAUUUCGUUCCAUCAUUCAUGGAGCGGGAUAUUCAAUAUGUCAUCCAAACUAUUCUUAUUAUAGACAAUUGUCGAUGAGGUGUUGAUAUGGACGUCCAUGUGUUCUCUCGACAUGGUGGGAUAUGGCAUCAAUAAGGUGUUGGUAACGUUUCAAUAUGGGAGGAGGAUUAUCUUCUCUUCUAAUCUCAUUCUCUCUCCUCCUAUUUGAACGAUUACGAUUUAGCCACGUCAACAUCUUAUAUUGAUUUUUUUUAUAGAGACAAUAAGAUAAAAACAAUAAAUGUGAGGAGAGGAGGGAAAGGGAUGAAAAUAGGAGGGAAGAAAAUUUUACUCCUUUAAUAUGUUGUCAGUAUAACUAUUGAUAUGUUGUCCAUAAUCCCGCUCUGUGAACAGUUGGAGCAGUCCUUUGUGUGUAUAUAUUAAGAAAAUGGGGGGUUUUUUUUUGUCAACUGUUAAGCAGAUAGUUGAACAUGCCCAUAACUUGAAUCAAUUAAUACUAUAUUUCGGUGUCUGAAGCUCUGAGCUGGUAGAUUUGGGAGAUAAGUGAAGAUCAUUCAACUACAAUUAGAUGGUAAUUAAGAAACAAUAAACAAAGUUUUAGUUAACUAAAAGAUGCUUGAACCAGACGAGAAAGAUUCUUACUGAUAUCUCAGUUUCAUUCUCGAUGAGAUAUUGGAACAAUCUAAUGCACUACAACGUAUCUUUAACUUUGAAUGCUUUCGUUUGGGAUUUUGCUUAUAUAGAAAACACUUGUGUUUAUAAGCGCUUUUGCUAGAAGUAUUUUUACUAUAAACAUGUUGAAAUUUUUAUUAAUCUAUGUGUUUCAUGGGAAAGUAUUUGGAAGUGCUUGUCCUAGUGCUUUUUCAGAAACGCUUCUAUGACCCAUAAGUAAUUUCAAGUUCUCCUCGAGACAUAAUCGGAAAACACUUUUAGCUCGUACAAAAUACACACUCAAUCCAAAACAUGGCGUUAAUGUACCCAAAACUACUUCAUUCUCUCAUUUACACUUUUAAGACACAGAGUUGUAGGUGAGGUAAGGGCUGCAGAGCCAACAAACUGAUGAACUCCUACAGUUCAUGGUUGCACAAAUCAAAACAACAGUAGCUCUUCCAAAGACCCAAAGGGCCAUCUGGAAAAUUAUAGAUUAAAUUAAAUGUUCACAAGUCUGAGAACACACCCGCUCCCCCAUUUCAUAUACGCAUGUAAUCUGAUAGUGAAGGAACACCUUUAUUUCCUAUUUGUUUAAAGACAAACGCCACAUUUAUUUAAAAAAAAAAAAAGGAAUUAAAAACUCCUUGUUAACAACUUAAUAUCAGCAAUGCUAAAUGACCGAUUCAAAAGGAUUGGGAAUUUAUCGAAGGAUGUUACUAUCCACGCACUUUUUUUUUUAUCUCUCACAUACCUCUUGUUAAUUUUUUUUUCUUUGAUAUUCUUUCUUCAUUUGAUUUGACUUCCAAAAGUUAAAAAGAGUGUGAAAAAUAAAAAUAAAAAGAUGUGUGAAUGGUACCACUAUUUACUGAAACAUACAAAGCUUAAGAUUUUCAUGGAAAUCAAGCUCUAUGCUUGCACUUCCAGUGGGCUUGAAUGUGCGAGCUUCAAAUCAUUGGGACUUGAGGGUGUCAAAUGUAGUGGUUUCUAAAUGGACAUGGAUCACUAAAGGACUUUUAUGUUUUUUGGGGCUUUGGUACUUACUCCAUCUCGGUCAGUGGUCACAAAAAAUAGACGAAUCACCUUUUUGUUUUUUUUUUUUUUUUGGUCAGAAAGAACGAAUCACCUUUUUGUUUGGUUAGAUUAUCUCCGACCAUUAGGUUAAAAUCUAAAAUGUAAGUUUUAAAUUAAUUCAAUUCUUCUUUUUAAAUUAGGCUUAAAAUAAGUUUUGGAUUAAAGUCUAAAAUUGAAUCUUUAAAAAAAAACCUAAAAUUGGGCAACUUUAACCCAGUAUUUGGGCUGGAGUUAAAAAGUUGGCCCAACGAUCCAGAUUUGGACCUAUUUAAUUUUUAAAUAUAUUAAAUCCAACAGUUGAGAUCAAAUAUGAUUAAAGCUAACAGUAAAAAAAAGAUCUAACAAUCCAAAAUUAAAUCCAAAACAAUUAAAAAAAAUUAUUUGAAUCAAAAUUCAUCUAAAAACUCUAUAAAUACAUAUUUCACGUGUCGGUUUUGUGAAUUUUCAACUUUUACCGGAAUCUAAAUCUUUUUAGAUUAAAAUGUUCAUAAGUGAGAGAAUUUAUGUACAACUUCUUCUAAGUAUCCAUGGAAAAUGAAAUUAUAGAUACAACAUUUUAUCAUAGGAUUUAUGUACAGUUUGUGGUGCAUGAAUAAUUUGAAAUGUCUGCAUGCUUUACUCAAUUGUGUUUGUGCAAAAAAAAAAAAAAUUCAAUACCCAAUCUUUUUGAAACAGUCUCUUGCCUUUGAUCUGGAAAGGUAAAUUUGAUGAUUAAUUACGUACAAAUUAAAGUGCAAGAGAGAGAUGAAUUUGAUAAGAACAUAUGAAAUGCAUUAUUAUUGCUAACUAAUCAACCUUUUAUUUGUCAUUCCAAAAAAUUAUAGCUAAUUAAUGACUUAAAAGAUGUGCCAUGUAUGGCCUCCCAUAUAUGUACUAGACAAUCCACAUGCAGUAGGCAAACUGGUUACCUGUCUCGACAGAUUGAAAGUCAAGGGCAUGCUUUGGACUAAAUCUCCCGGGUAUGCCAGGAAAGAAACUUGACAUGCAACAGGACGGAAUAAACCAAGAAUGCGGCAUGCAUAUUUCACCAACAAUCUUUGCAAAAUGUCUUCCUUAUUAGCACGCCGUGUCUUUUUGUCCUCACAUAACCAAUUAAGCAAAGUACACGUGGGUCGACAUGAGCACUCAUGUGUUGAAGUGUGUCUCGUAUCUAAAACCUGAAGAAGUUAAAUCCUUCUCGUUUGAAUGGUUUCACUAUAUAUCCUUGCAUGAGCCCUUUACAAGUGGUUAAGCUGAAUCGACUCUAGAACUUUGACAUCAUGUACUACCUAGACCUGAAUUUUCAAAGUAGAGACCAUAGAGACUUUGAAAUUUCACCCCUAGCUUCUAGACACAUAGUUAAAUUCAUAAUCGUUAAUCCCCAUAUAUCACUAUGAUCGAUUCAAAAUUCAAACUGGAGUACAGCUGGAAUAAUUAAGUUUGUUAGUACCAUAUUAUAUUGGGCCUCGUUACUUGAGCUUCCAGAUAUUGAGCCCAUGAUUCAUGUAAAAGGGGAGGAGCCCUUAGUCUAUAAAAGGGUAUCCUUACCCUUACAAUCCUUAAGCCUCACAUCCCAAAACAGAGGCUCUCAUAUUCAGAGCAAAACUCUCUCAAACUCUCUCUUUCUUUGGACGACUCCCCCUCACACUUGUAAUCCAUACAUACAGUUACACAGAAAUACAAUCAACAUCAGUGUGGACGUAGCCCAAACAUUGGGGUGAACCACGAUACAUUUUGUGUUCUUUACUUUCUUACAGAUUCACGGUCGGAUUUACGUUGUUCCAAGACCCUCCGGUUUUGUGCAUCAACAAAGUUGUGUUUACUUAAUUAUGUUAUAAUGUUAAGUUACCGAAUCAGUCUCAUGAAAAUCCAUGUUAAUUAAAUGUUGGAAUAUAUUUCUCCUAGCACCGCAUAUAGGAGAACUCUCAUUAGUGUCUAAUGUGGUCUUCUAGUCACUCAUGAAUUGCUUGGAAAUCUAAUUGGGAUUUGGAAUAUUAACUAAUUAGCAUAUUCAGUGCCCACGAAGGUUUAGUGAUUUGGAGUAAUGUGGGCAAAAUGGUUUCUAUUAUAUUUAGGAUCUAAUUAAAGAAAGUAUAGAUGCAUGAGGAUUCCUAAUAGGCUUAUGAUGGCUUAUGAUGGACGUAUCCUUUUAGGGUUAUAUAUCUAUAUAAGUAAUAUGUGAGCUUGUUUGGAUAUGCUUUUGAAAUGACUGAAAGCGUUUUUCGUAAAAAUAUUUUUAGAACCAAUCAUUAGUAAAGAUGCAAGUAAAUCCUGAAAAAACACUUAAAGUGCUUCUUGGAAGAAGCACGUAAUUGAUGCUUCUUGCAUAAAGCAUUUAAAGUGCUUUUGAAACCUAAAAAUAUUUUUUCUAAAAGCACUUUUAAUCAUUUUAUGCUUCUUGCAGAAAGCAUUUAAAGUGUUUUUGAAACCCAAAAAUAUUUUUUUUAAAAACGCUUUUAAUCAUUUUAAAAGCAAACGAGCCCCAUAGUGUUACGCAUGUUACACAGAAUACUUCUCAUUCGGUAUUGUAACCUAAUAUGUAAAAACCAAUAGAAAAAAAAAAAAAAACUCUUGCUGACAACAAGAUGUCUUUGUAACACGGCUAUCCAAGUUAGUACUCUAGCAUGCAUGUUUUAAUUAUAUGAACUCCUUAAAUUAACAUUAAAUCGAUUAAUCUAAUUAAACAUACAGCUGCCAUGAGAGUAUGAGAGAAACCAACUUAACCAAACCCUAGCUAGCUAGUUUAACAAAUAUCCAUGCACUAUUUUGCAGGCCGGCUUGUAGUACUGGGAAUAACAACUAGCGAGGCACUGAUUCCACUGAAGUUAGAAAAGGAGAAAUUAAUGGAAACUCUUUCAGAAUAUGUAAAAUAAAAUAAUAAUUAAUAAGAUCAAAUCAUUAAUUAUAAACACUCAACAGUAUGCAAACAAAAUCUUACAGACAAAAUGAAGCGAACUGCAAUAAUUAUCAUGCUCUCACAUGUUUUGAAUCAUCUACACAGCAAGACUACUAAUUAGAUACGAGUAGAAGUAGCACAUCUGAACAUGUUAAUUAAAGAAAAAUAACUUUAAUUACUUAAUUAAAAGGGAUAAUUAAAAGUGAAGAGAAACACUUGAUUCAGAACUAGCUGGUAGCCAAAAAUUCAGAACAAGCUAGGUAUAUGUGGAUUUGCUAGGGUUGAUUUAGCAAAUGAUCGGACCGAGACGCUUGAUUCCCCUUGAGCCAAAGAGUUAGAAAACCCUUUUGUCGGAGAAACCCUACUCAUACAAUAAGUAGAGUUUUGAUCUCAUAUGUAAGAACUAAGAAGUAGCAGUACUAGUGAAAGCCUAUGCCAGUUCUCUCCUCCUCCUCCUCCUCCUCCUCUUCUUCUGCUUCUUCUUCUUCUUCUUGCUGUUGAUCUUGAUCGGCUGCUGCUUGUUGUUUUGGCAGCAGUAAUAGCAGAACUAGAAGUAGGUUUCCUGCAGGUGAUGAGUAAUGUUGGAGAUGAUGAUGGUGGUGGUGGGGUUGGUGCAUGGUGGUGGUGGUGGUGAUGAUGAUGAUGAUAAAGGUGGGGGUGAGGGGGUAAUGAUGGUGGUAGAGAGUCAGAGGGAAGGGCAAGGAGGAGAGCAUCAUGAUUGCUGUUUGGUUCUUGUGUUGAAACUUUGAACAAAAAUCCAAGCUAUUGCUAUUGUGAGCCAUCGCUGUUCUCUCUCUCCUGAUGGAUAUCGAGGAAUUAUUAUCAUGAAGGCCUUUGGUGUGUGGUAGCUUUUUCAAGUCCCCCAGCUCCUGUUCUCUAAGAAAAGAUUUUUGCAUUUUCUAUAAGGAAAAGGGAAUCUCCUGCAACACUUGUUGGACCCCUCGGUUCCUACAUCCCAAUCAACUUCCUCCAAACCGUACCUUCUAAUUCUACAUGUCUAAUAUUUUACCUCAAAAAAAUUCUACAUUUCUAAUAGGGAAAGUUUAUCAAAGUUUAACUAAUAAUUUAAUUAUCAAUUUUCAUGUCAUUUAGUUUAUAAAAUUUAGUCUUCCUAGUAUUACUCUUUUUAAUAUUGAGUUCAAAAUUUUUUACUUCGUCAUAGGGGGUAGUUAGGGAAGCAGAUGACUGAAGAAUGCAUGGUCACAUACCUUUAAAGUUUGAAGACGUGCUUAGCCAUGAAUUUUUUGUCACAUGAUUACUAAGAGAAUGAGAUUAUACCUAAUCAGUGUAGUUCUUCUAACAAUUGUUAAUGUUAAUAAAAGAUACUAGUUCAAGAAUCAAACUCUAAAAAGAAUGAAUAAAAAUCAUGAAUUACCGCAAUAACAAUAUUGGAUUCCUAAUAACAUUUGAGUUCAAGAGUUUUUUUUGUCCCUUCAGUGGUGUAUUUUUAGUGUUUUUCACUAUGAAAAAAUAAUUGUAGGGGGUUUUUAGUGAAGAACUAGGGUACACUAUAUUUUGCUCACCGCCAUUAAUAUCAUAUAUUGUCUUGUAGUAUUACAUAUAUACACAUAAUAAAAUUACACAUUCUAAUUAAAUAACAAUUCAACAAAAAAAGUAUUAUACAAAAGAAAGUUAAACAAGUUGGUCCUAAAGAGUGAGACACCAAAAUUAGUGAAGCUUAGAUGGUGUGUACGUUGCAGCUUAUAUUUUCAAUUUCUUUUCUUUUUAAAUGCUCUCCAUUUUUUAAUUGACUACAGUAAAAGGCUGUUUGUAACUGUAUGUAGAGAGUUGCUGAAACCCUGAAAGCUUUAUCGGUUUUAGUUAAAGAUGCAAAUGGCAGGCCAACAUAUAUAAACCAAUUUAUAUAAGAAACUAAUUAAAAAUGGCAGAGGAAUCUAGAAAUGAUCAAGAAUGACAGAGAUAAAGAAUCAAAUAAUAUAUUUACAUGAGAGAGAGAGAGAGAGAGAGAGAGAUGUGAUACAAAAUUGAGGGAGAACUUGUGAGCUUGUGAGGAUAAAAUGCAUGCUGUACUCCUGCAAAAGCAUUUUGUUAAAUAAAAGUGGACAGAAAUGUUUGCUAGUAAUUCAAUCUUCUUCCUGUCAAAAACAAAAGUAGUCUUUUCUUAUUUUUAUAAUUGCAAAGCUUGAAGCAGGCUAGCCAGGGUAAAAUUAUUUUAGUUUAGUUCUGAAGUGCCUAGAGAGAAAGGAUAAGAUUCCCAAAUAAAGCAUAUUUUGAAGGGAUCAUUUCAGUCCUCUCUAUACCUGCAAUGAUCAUCCUCAAAGUACUCAAUUAACAACUCUUUUAUGCUGUGUGUGGUUUGUCCUGCAGAUGAAAAUAUGAAAAAUCCCACAAUCUUGAAUCCUGAAGAAGGAAUGUAGGAAUAUUCAAUUUUAAAUUCUGAUUAAGCCCUAAACCCUGGAUGUUAGGGAAUGUGGAAGUCGAAAAUGUUAAGAGUUGUCCCACAUCGGUGAGGGACAAGGUUUAUCAUGUGCUUAUAUGGUCUUGGGUUACUCACCAUAUUGCCAAUUGGUUUUAUGGUGGAACCUCAAUUUCAUCAUGGUAUCAGAGCAAGGUUAUCCACGUGUGAAACCCAACGGCCACACGCCCUCCACGUCACUCAGUUGUUGUCCACGUGUAGGCUUGAAAAUCCGCUACACGUGUGGAGGUGUGUUGAGAGUUGUCCCACAUCGGUGAGGGACAAGGUUUGCUAUGUGCUUAUAUGGUCUUGGGCUACUUCCCAUAUUGCCAAUUGAUUUUAUGGUAGAACCUCAAUUUCAUCAGAAAACGCAACCACAAAUGUAUGGACAAUAUACUCUUAGCUAAUUGAAGUACAAGCUCAUCGCUAAUAUCAAAGUGCUACAUUGUACAAAUAUUUACAAACUGGAGCAAACUGGAGGAAUGUCGGGAGCUUGUGGCACAUGAAUGGGAAGGUAAUCUUGGUGGCUCCCAUGCUUUCCGGAUCUGUGAAAAAUUAAAAAUGCUUAGGAAGAGGCUUAAGGCGUGGUAUCAAGGCAGGGGUAGAAAUUAAAAAAAAGCCAUUGAUAAAUUGAAAGAAGAGAUAAGGAGGGCUUACACGUCUAAUCAAUUUGCCUCUGAGGAGGUCAAACUGAAAGAAAGAGAUCUUCGGUCUGCUCUUAGAAACGAAGAAGCCUACUGGAAAGCUAAAUCCAGAGUUCAGUGGCUACGAGAGGGAGAUAAAAACACAAAAUUCUUUCAUGCUCAAACUUUGAAACGAAGGAGAUACAAUCAGAUAAAGGGUCUGGAGGACUCCAAUGGGAAGUGGCAUGACUGUGACAAAGAUAUCUGUGAUAUUGCCAACUCUUAUUUCACUGAUUUAUUUCAGUCCUGUAAGCCCAGCCAAAUCAGGGAUGUAGAAGACUGUAUGGAGACCAGGGUGUCACCGGAGGACAAUCGUGAACUUGUGGCACCUAUCACUGAUGAGGAAAUCAAGGAGGCGGCCUUUCAAAUUCCUUCCGAAAGAGCCCCGGGGCCUGAUGGAUUCUCUGGAUGUUUCUAUAAAGAUCACUGGACGACAGUGGGAGAGGAUGUGGUGAAGGCCAUCAAAGCUUUUUGGCACUCUGGAAAAAUGUUGAGGAAAAUAAACCACACAAAUUUAGUUCUCAUUCCCAAGGUUAAAUGUCCAAAGAACAUGACACAAUUCAGACCUAUUGCCCUCUGCAAUGUUAUCUACAAGAUCCUGGCAAAGGUGAUAACCAACAGACUCAAAAAGAUAAUGCCGAAGGUGAUUGGCGAAAAUCAAUUUGCUUUUGUCGCUGGGAAGCAAAUUCAGGACAACAUUCUAGUGGUUCACGAGCUCUUUCACUCCCUGAACCAUCAAAGCAAAGAUAUUCAGAAAGGAAUGGCCAUCAAGUUGGACAUGGCAAAGGCUUAUGACCGUGUAGAGUGGGAUUUUCUUCUCUCCAUGAUGUCGAAAUUGGGGUUUGCGCCGAUGUUCUGCAACAGGGUAAAAGAAUGUAUUUCUACUGUAUCCUUUAGUAUCCUCAUCAAUGGCUCCCCGACGGGUUACAUCCAACCGAAGAGAGGCUUGAGACAAGGGGUUCCCUUAUCUCCUUUCCUUUUCUUAAUUUGCACCGAGGGCUUCUCCAGUUUGAUCAGGAAAGGGAUGGAGCAUGGAACCCUUCACGGCUACAAGUUUACACCUAACGGGACUCCUCUUACCCAUCUCUUCUUCGCAGACGACUCGGUCCUCUUUGGGAAUGCUACGGUCGAGGAGGCCCAAGGUGUGGCAGAUAUCCUGAAAGUGUAUGCUAGCGGAUCUGGGCAGGAAAUUAAUUUGUCCAAAAGUUCGAUUUUCUUUGGAACUUCGACUUCUAAAAGGACUAAGAAGAGGAUCGGAAAUACGCUGGGGAUACCAUAUAAGGAUGGCUUCGGGAAAUACCUUGGCCUGCAGGCCGAUUUUGGACUCUCCAAAAAAGCGGUCUUUGCGGAGAUUCGAGAUAAGAUCGAAGCCAGGUUAGCAGGUUGGUCGGAGCAAUUCCUAUCCCAAGCUGGAAAGGAAGUCCUGGUAAAGGCAGUUGCUAUGGCUCUGCCAAAUUUUUCCAUGAGUUGCUUCAAACUCCCCAUUGGGGUAUGUAGGGAUGUGGAGAAAGCAGUCCGGAGCUACUGGUGGAGAGGCAAUGACCAGAAAAGGGGAUGUCACUGGAUUUCAUGGGAUCGGCUAAUGAAACAAAAAUUGGCCGGUGGUUUGGGAUUUAAGGAUAUCCAGUGCUUUAACCUGGCUUUCCUAGCUAAGAUUGGUUGGCGUUUGAUCCAAAACCCCACUUCCCUACUUGCAACUGUCUUAAGAGAUAAAUAUUUCCCAGGGAUUCAAGGAAGCUGGAAGAGGGAGAAACACUUCGUGGGGAUGGAAAGGCAUCUUUGAAGGUCGUAUGAUCCUUCAACAUGGUGUUAGAUAGCGGGUUGGAGACGGGAAAAGCAAAUAUCCGAAAGGAUCCGUGGUUACCGACACCUACCACCUUCUUGGCUAACCCGUUGGAUAGUCUAGAAGAAAUCAAGGUCCGGGACUUGAUUGACCCAAUCUCAAAAUCUUGGAAAGAAGAGGUCAUCUCGGCCGGUUUCAACCGGGAUGAAGCUAGGAAAAUUUUAAGUAUACCCCUAAGCAAAUCUGGCUGCCUUGACAGAUUAGUUUGGCAUUAUACGGUGAAUGGAGAUUACUCUGUUAAAACUGGAUAUGGAGUGGCAAUGAGCUUGAUGGAGAAUGGCGCCCUGGGCAGGAAUGGACGGGGUGCGCCUAGUGAGCACCGAAAGAACAAGUUGAUAUGGAAAAUGAUUUGGACGUUGCAGGUUCCCAACAAAAUCAAAUUUUUCAUAUGGAAGUGCUGCAACAAGGCUCUGGCGGUGCGACACAACCUGCAACGCCGUCAAAUACGAGUCGAAAACAUCUGUGGGGUAUGUCACACUUUUGAUGAAUCGGAAAAUCAUUUAUUCUUCCAUUGUGAAUUUAGCCAUCGUUUCUGGUUUUGUUCUCCUCUACACAUAAAUUCUCAUGAGUUGGCCGGUGCCGACUUCCUGGAGAGUUGGGAUAAAAUAUGUUCCAGAAUCAAGAAUAUGGAAAAGAAAGAGGAGAUUCUCCAGGAGGUUGCGUUUGGUCUGUGGCGUCUCUGGAAGAAUAGAAAUGAAGUGGUAUUUAAUGGUGUACAUAGACAACAUUUGGAAGUCAUGACUCUAUGGGGAAAGAAUAUUUCUGAGUAACGUGAGGCUCUGUCCCUAAAACCAGAGGGUGAAUGUCAUCUGAUUUCCAAACCCCACAAGAUGGAGAAGCGUCCGCAGCUUCGGUGGCAGAAACCAAAUUUUGGAACCAUCAAGGUGAAUACCGAUGCGGCCUGGUGCAGAUCUUCAAUGCGAACUGGAGUUGGAUGGGUGGGCCGCGACUUUGCGGGUCUGCUUCAAUUUGCUGGAGGAUCGGGAACUGGUUUUUGUCAUAGUGCGGCGGCUGCUGAGGCAUGUGCUAUUCGGAGUGCUCUGAUGGCUUGUAUUGAAAAUGGUUUUGAUAAGGUGAUAAUUGAAUCUGAUGCUUUAGUUAUCAUUAAGAUGCUAAGAAAGGUCUCUCCACAAGACUACAGCAUCGAAUGCAUCCUUGGUGACAUCGAGAUUCUAGUACAGAGGUUAAUGUCAAUGACAUUUUCGUUUGUACCUAGGGAGAGCAACCAUGCGGCUCACUCGGUGGCGAAGUUUGCCUUGCAGCAAGGUGGUGAUUAUGUUUGGGAUUGUAUUGGGCCGAAGUUUUUGUUUAAUGUUCUAGCCCACGAUGUAAACAUUUCUAUUCGCCUUUAAUUUAUUCUAUCUUCGGUUUAAAAAAAAAAAAUUACCCAAAAGAAAAAAAUAUAUACUCUCUACUAUCAUGUGAUUCAUUAACAAUAGAAAUUGAAUAUGAUUUUUUUUCACCAUCAUAAACGAUUCGUGUAGAAUACGAGCUUAGUAUUUGUCCCUAACCAAACAUUGUUUGUAUCUCAAAAGAAAAAAGUUGCUUUGACAAAAAGAAAGUUGCAAGAAAUUACCAAAUAGUUAAACAUGCAAUGAGCCUGAAGAACAUUAUUCUUAAUUCACAUAUCAACUUGUAUUAAUCACUCAAAGACUUUAUGUUUUGACCCUGAUAAAGUCCCCACUUAAUUCAACCAGCCUUUUAUUCCACUUUGUAAUAUAGUCCGACGGAAAGAAAACCCUAGCUGGCCAAAAAAGUAGACAUUCCCGGAUAUUCAAAUCUUUUUAGCACCAAACAAAUUCCAAAACCAAAGAUCAAAAGUUCACAGUAUUUCGUGUCUAGCCAGCCUUAAUCAGUGCUUGUUUCAUGUCACAAUCACUUUAUGAUAUUCCAUUACCAUCCAAAGCAAAACUUAUUUUGUCAUCCAUUUUUAUUUGGAUGAAUUGCGAAACGUACAUAAAACUGAAUGCAUACUUCAUACGUCUAUUUUCAUGUGACAAAAGAGACGGAUAUACAGAAUUAUAUCUAAUUUCAUGUAACUUAUAUAAUAUAUAUACUCGAUUUCAUGUAAAUUGUAACUCAAUAUACAUCCAAUUUUAUGUAAGUUCAGAUGAUAAUUAUGGCCUAGCAGUUUAAUCUGUCAUACAACAACCGUAUUUCCACCAGUGUUCAUGCAGUAGGCAAUUAGGUUAGUUAUUAACCAACAAAAGAAGAAAGUGAAAAAGGGGUUCGUGAGAGGCAGGAGCUGCUAUGCCUCCAACAGGGAAAAAAGUGCAUUUUAUUCCCUUGAAACCUGUUGAUCUCUCAACUCUGCGUAUCAUCAUUACAUUGGAAAGUGGGUUGACACCGCCCUUGUUGCAAAAAUAGUAUAAACAAUCGAACAUAUUAGGCUGACAACAGAGCAUGCACAUUGCACACACUUUUGUUCUUAGUAGGAAUUGUGUGGGGAUGCCCAACAAUUCAUAAGAUACGUUUCUCAAAAGUAUGAGAUGCAAUUUGAACUCGGUGUAUUUGACCAAAAAAGAAGUUAUAACUUGGUAUUAGAGUGGGUUUAGUUAGACAAUGGUAUCGAAUUUCUUUUGUUAUUUCAUUUUAUUUGUGUAUUCUAAUUCCUCAUGAUGCAAUUCUCACUCAUUAUCGAAAUGCUCUAAUUAGACAGCCUUACUGAAUAUUUUUUGCAAUUACAGUCUAUUAAUAUCAUUUGAUUUCAUUUGACUCGACGAUGUCUCCACUCAUUAUAAAAAUGCUCGUCAUACUCAGACAGUCUUACCGAAUAUAUUCUCCUAUUCCACACUAGCUUUACUCUUUAUACUAGCAUUUCGCCUUUUAGGUGCAAGUAGAAUUUUGAGCAGUCAGGCUAACCGAACUGAGCCCACAUAAGUUUUACAGUCUCUUAGCCCAACAUUCUUACUCGGGCCCUAAUAUUUGGGCCUAAAUUAUUUGAUUUAUGAAAUAUUAAAGCCCAUUUGUUUUGGUAUUAAAACGAGCCCACAUUCAAUUUGGUUCAGAAUAAGAAAUGAAAAGCCGUUUGAGGCCGAGACAGAGAGCGCGGGAAAGAUGUUAGUUAGCCGUUGCGCAGUUCAAUUCUCUUUUGGGACUUUCUUCAAACACCUUCCGGUAUCAAAUCCGGCGACGCUCUGUCCGUACAGAUUCAGACCCAAAAACCUAACCGCCAACCCAAUUCGUAGCUCCUCUUACUUUGAGACGUUAGAUUCCUGCCAAAAAGAGCAAGUCCAUCUCUAUGUCCACACUCUUCUCCAAUGGAACCGGGUUUUUUUCUCUCUCCUUACACUUAUGCUCUGUUUGGUUGCUGAGAAAAUUGCGGGAAAAUCAUGAAAAGAUUACCAAUUGAUGAAAUUUUUGAACUUGCAGAAAAUGAAUCUGACAGCCGUUAAGGAGGCGGAUGAGGUAAUGGAGAGGCACAUUGAGGACUCGCUCGCAAUCAUACCGCCUAUUAGAAAUUCUUAUCUCUCUCACUGUAACCCUUCGUCCAAAAACCUCCGCCUUGUAGAUGUGGGGAGCGGUGCAGGUCUUCCGGGUUUGAUCUUAGCCAUUGCUUGGCCAGGUAAGUAACUACUUUGCAAAAGUUCCGAUUUUUUUUGUUGCAGUUUUUCGGAAGUUUGUAUAAUUUGUUCAGGUUUCGCUGGAUAGGUUGGGAAGUGACACUGAUGGAGUCUAUGAACAAGAGAUGCAUUUUCUUGGAACACGUUGUCGGUCACAUUGGUUUGUCGAAUGUUCAAGUUGUAAGAGGAAGAGCAGAGGUAUGGUUUCGUGUUUUUCGUAGAUAUAAUUUUGUUUCUAGAGAUGUCAAAUUAAGGAUAUGAGAGUUGCUGAUUCUUGUUACUUUGGUGGUCAGCUGAAUACUGUCUUCCUCUGGUUUGCGUUGGCGGUUUGUUUGUUGCUGCAAAGGGCCACGAUGUAAUCGAAAAGUCUUAUCACACUAACCAUUCAUUUCUGAAAUCGUAUCCAAAAUGUCACUAAAAACUGAACUGGGUUGUGGGAAUUGUGUCUAGGUAGAUUUAUGACUUUAAUUACCUCAGCAACAUGACGAACAGCCCCUGUUUUUUUCUAUUGGUGCAAUUAAACUAUUAGAUAUGAAAUAUUAAGUACUCUGCAUAUUUGGCACAUUUGAACAGGAGGUCAAGAGAACUUUCAUGAUUUCCAUUGUCAGCCCUUUACAGUUCUACAUUCACACAUGUUCUAUUUCAGUGAAAAAAUUUUGGGGAAAAAGAAGAAGAAAAAGAAGUUGAUUCCAUCUCAAUGUAUUAAAAGGCGGAGGUGUGGGCGAGGCGUUCCAUGGAUAGCCCCGCCUAGGCAUGAGCGAGCCGUUUCAUGGAUAGCCCCGCCUAUGCGUGAGGCAUCAGGCGAAGCCUUACGGGACCUUAAAUAAUAGGGGACUGCUAAGAAAAACAGGGGAAUAGGGGACUCUUGGGGUUUUAAAAUAAAAGAAAAACAGACUUGGCCAAAAUGACGUUGUUUUGGGCCAAGUUAUUUAAAAAAAAUUAAAGACUUGGCCAAAACGACGUCAUUUUGGACCAAAUCUUUUUUUUUUUAAUCCCUCUUCUUCUUCUUCUUCACGGUCGUCUUCCUCGUGAAGACGCCGCACACCUUGCAACCCUAAACCCAGAUGACAGAACCUUCAACUUCAAUUUACCCAGACAACAGAGCAUUUGACUUCGAUUUUGGGUUGCGGAUGGAUCUGGGAACGCCCGUCAACCGCCUUUAGGCGCGCCUCAGCCGUCUAGGCGAGUUUUCACCCACUCCCAUUAGGCAAAGGCGUUAUCACUCCCGCCCUGCCUCCAAAAUCAAAGAUCAAAAGUUCACAGUAUUUCGUGUCUAGCCAGCCUUUACCAGUGCUUGUUUCAUGUGACAAUCACUUUAUGAUAUUCCAUUACCAUCCAAAGCAUAACUUAUUUUGUCAUCCAUUUUUAUUUGGAUGAAUUGCGAAACGUACAUAAAACUGAAUGCAUACUCCAUACGUCUAUUUUCACGUGAUAAAAAAGAUGGAUAUACAGAGUUAUAUCUAAUUUCAUGUAACUUAUAUAAUAUAUAUAUACUCGAUUUUAUGUAAAUUGUAACUCAAUAUACCUCCAAUUUUAUGUAAGUUAAGAUGAUAAUUAUGGCCUAGCAGUUUAAUCUGUCAGAAAACAACCAUAUUUCCACCAGCGUUCAUGCAGUAGGCAAUUAGGUUAGUUAUUAACCAACAAAAGAAGAAAAAGAAAAAGGGGUUCGUCAGAGGCAGGAGCUGCUAUGCCUCCAACAGGGGUAAAAGUGCUUUUUAUUCCCUUGAAACCUGUUGAUCUCUCAACUCUGCGUAUCAUCAUUACAUUGUGGAAGUGGGUUGACACCGCCCUUGUUGCAAAAAUAGUAUAAACAAUCGAACAUUAGGCUGACAACAGAGCAUGCACAUUGCACACACUUUUGUUCUUGGUAUCAGCAAUCACUGGUAGAUUUUCAACAGUCUCAUCUGCAGAAUCAGACUCUACAUAUUUGUUUGGACAAGGUAUGGAACCAGUUACAAACCCAAGAAUUCCAUGUCCAUCUAACAAGAGUUCCAAUUGAAAAUUCCAUGUAACAUAAUUGGAAUCAAGUUUUACAGUCACAGUGUUUCCAACACUGAAAAUUCCAUGUAACCAUUUUUAUAUGAACACACCAAAUCAACUAGAAAUUCUGAGCAACAGACAAAAUGAUCAACUUUGCAAGAAUCAACACAUCGACAAUUGAAGAUGAACAAAUCAAGAAUCAACACUAAUACACCACAAAUCCGUCAAAUAGCAACACGAUCUUCACCAAAGAAAGCAAGAAUCAAAUCACCGACUUACAGAAAAUCCCAAAGAAAUUAAGGGUCACCGACUUAGUGCACUGACGUUAGCUUUAACGAGCGAACAACAGCAACGAGCGAUAGAGGCACCAACGAGAAAUGCUAGCGGAAGCACAAGGAUCGUCGUCAACCGUUAAGAAUUACCCGUCGCCGGUGAAGAUACCGUGUUAACAAAGCUUACAGAGAUUUAGAGAGAGAGAAAGUAGAGAGGGAAAACGACUUUUCAAUAUUUCACUGUUAUUAACUUCAGAAUUAUUAUAAAUUCAUCCUCACAUAACUAACUCAUCUAAUACACAUGUGACACAUGGCACACAUCUAAUACAUAACACUUGGCAUAAUCCUAAGCUAACCUCUGUAGUCUAACAGUUUUAACUUUUAAAUUGCACAGAAAGAAAGAUGCUUGAACUUAUAUAAUAGUAUAAUGUUAGAGAGACAAAAUUGACAAGGGUUUUUAUUACAAAUGGUCAAAUCGAAAUGGUUCCGAAUUAGAAAAUCAAUUAAUGUCAUCCCUAAAUAUUAGUGUACAAAUCAAUAUUGUCAUUCUGUUUAGAUUCCGUUAAAAAUUCUGUUAAGAUGUUUUAUGUGGCACACAUGUGAAUCCACCACACAUAACAUGACCCACGUGUAAUUUGCCAAAAAUUGUUUACAAAUUUCAACCAUGCAAAGUUGAAAUUAAAUGGCAAGACAAUACCAACGUUUUAACCAAAAGAAACGUAAAAGCAACAUUAUUGUUCAUUGUUCAAAUGAAAAGCAACAACAAACUCAAGUAUAGCCUCCCAAACUUGUAUCUAGCUUAUAUAAUAUGAAGUGGGACGGGUAAUAUGUGCAUGAGCAAUUUGAGCAAGAAAUCGGAUUGGAUUUGGCUUGAAGCAAACAUCAACCCAACCCAACCCAAUAGGGUAGGUUUGAAAAACCGAAAACUGAAAAAAAAAUCGAACCGAACACCGAACCGGAAUAAAAAAAAAAACAAACCGAACUGGAUUAUAUUGGUUCGGUUUCGAUUUCAAUAGUUCGGAAACCGAAUUAGACCAAACCGAACCAAAUUCUAAACCUAUUUAAACGAGUUUUAUGAUACUUAACUAACCCUUACUAACUAAUACAUUACACUGUGUACAUGUGCAAUUAGAUUAAGGAUUGUUAUUGUUUUUUAUUGCCAACUGCUUAAGAUGAAAUGGAUUUUGGCAGGAGCCAAUUGCUUAACAAAUACACGGUACGAAAUGGAUUCUAUGUUAACUUCCCAUUGCAUAUAAUUAUUGGAAUUUAGUUUUUGCAUUACAAUUAUUUGAGGUCAGUGCCUUAUGUGACCAUGCAUUUUAAUUAUGUUUGGUUAUCCAUGUUAGCUUAGCUUGAUACAAUUAUUAGUAUCAUUUUUGGUACUGGAAUAUAUGCAUCUUCCCAUAUUUUUGGUAAUGGAAUAAAUAUGCAUCUGCCCUUCCAUUGAAGUUUCAACAAUGCAUACAUUAGUGAUAUAGUGUACCAUGCAACGGUGUUAGUACUUAUUGAGAAAAAAAAAAAUAUAUAUAUAUAUAUAUAUAUAUAUAUAAACUGAACCAAAUUUAAACCAAACUUACAAAAAUCGAAUCGAAGUCAAACCGAACAAAAAAAAACUGAAAGAAAAAUCGAACCAAACCGAAUAGUAACUUCGGUUUGAUUUUUGGUUUAGGCAAAAAACCGAACAAAAAGGAACCGAACCCACCCCUACAACCCAAUAAAUAAUCAUGUUGAGGUCAGGUUGGGUUUUGGCGGGUUUUUCCUUUAUUCUAACCCUCUCGAUCGAGUUUAAAAUCAAGUUGGGCAUGAGCGGAUUCGGGGUGACCCAACCCAUGUUGCACUCCCAUUGUGAGGAGUGCAAGAUGAAAUUUUUGGAAUGCUAAUAGCAGUUCUUAAAUUUUUAAUGACAAACUUGAGAUGAAAAUACAUUAAGGAUCAAGAUGAAGCAACUCAAAAACUUUUGGCACAAAAUCGAAAAUGGUUUGAAGGGCCACUUGAUAUAAUAAUUGAUAGUCAUAAUAAAACUAUGUGCUUGAUAUAAUAAUUGAUAGUCAUAAUAAAACUAUGUAAUAUUUUGAUGUGGCAACACACUUUUUGUCACAUCCCAGCCCGGGGUGGAUCACUUCCCGUGCCCACUCCACCACCGUAGCACGAUAUUGUCCGCUUUGGGCCCCGACCACGCCCUCACGGUUUUGUUUCUGGGAACUCACGAGCAACUUUCCAGUGGGUCACCCAUCAUGGGAGUGUUUUGGCCCCAUUCUCACUUAACUUCGGAGUUCCUACGGAACCUGAAGCCAGUGAGCUCCCAAAAUGCCUUGUGCUAGGAAUGAGAAUAUACAUUUAAGGAUCACUCCCCUGGACGAUGUGGGAUGUUACAAUCCACCCCCCUUAGGGGCUCGACGUCAUCGUCGGCACACCACGGCCAGGGAGCCAGUGAGCUCCCAAAAGGGCUCGUGCUAGGUAGGGAUGAGAAUAUACAUUUAAGGAUCACUCCCCUGGACAAUGUGGGAUGUUACACUUUUUCUCUUCGUGUGGAUUAAGGGAAAUUCCCCUACAUGAUUUUUAUCAAGACCUCAUCUCAAAAGCCCUAUCCUCAUCUCAUAAGUACCGUACUUUUCACAAUAUAUAUAUAUAUAUAUAUAUAUAUAUAUAUAUAUAUAUAGGGCCCUUACCAAGAGGGUGUCAUCAUUGACUUUAAUGAAAUUGUGUGGUUGAGUAGGAAAUCUUUAAGGGAAGAUAUUCCUAUUUUUUUUAAAUAGGAAUUAGUUGUGGGGUCCACACUACAUCGGACUUUAGUGAUCCGAAUCGUUUAUUUUUCAAGUUGCACCUCAUAGAUCAUCCUUGCAAAAUAUUAGCCAAAUUGGAAAUGUUUAAGACAUCCAAUUGGGUUCAAAUAAAUUAACGAAUACUUUGUUAUAUAAGAAACAAGAAAUUUUAUCUUGAUAAUUAAAUAGGCAAAUGGUUUGAGAUUGAAAUGAAUUAUGGCAAUGAUGAUCUAUGAAUCGAGACUUACAAAAUAAACGGUUGGAUCGUUGAAGUUCGAUGUGGAGUGAGCCCCACAACUAAUCCUCAUUUAAAAAAAAAAUAGGAAUCUUUUUGCAUAAAUGGUCUGUAUAUAUAUAAAAUACCUUUCAGCAAAAUAAAUUAUCAAAUGAAAAAUUAACAAUUUGGUUUUUUGCCACAAAAUAAAAUCACGAACAACCAAUUUUAAUUAAAAAAAUAAAAAAUAUUUUUCCCACUUCUUUUCAUAUAUUAUACUAGCAAAAGCCUCGAGAAAUAUACUUUUUAUAUUUUUUAAAUAUUUGUUUUUAUUUUUUUAUGAGAGGAAAAAGAGAGAAGGAGAGAGAGUGAGUUUACAAGGACAUAAGGAAUUGAUAAAGUGACAUAGCUAUGAGGUUUUAAAAAAAAAAGUAAAAACUUUUUGUACAAAUUUACUUUAAUGCUCACAUUGUUUUUUUUUCUAAUAUUUUUUUUUUCAGUUUUGUAUUAUGAGAGGAAAAAGACAGAAGGAGAGAGAGUGAGUUUACAAAGAAUUGAUAAAGUGAUAUAGCUGUGAGGUUUUAAAAAAAAAAAAGUAAAAACUUAUUUGUACAAAAUUACUUUAACACUCAUAUAAUUGUAAUUUUAUUAGUUUUUUUUGUUAUAAAUAAUAUUUUAUUAAUACGUAGUUUAGAUUUCUCAAAAACAUUGUUUUUUUUCUAAUAUUUUAUUUUUUCAGUUUUGUAUUAAAAGAUAUAGCAGUAAUUUUAUUAAUUUUUUUUGUUAUAAAUAAUAUUUUAUUAAUAGGUAGUUUAGAUUUCUCAAAGUUUGAAUCUGGUAAAUUAAAAAAUAAAGAAAAAGCCCAUUUUGCUCCCAAUGCCAUCUUCUACUUUCUUCCCCUCCCAACAAUGAAAAACCCUCAAAAACCGAAAGGCUGGUGAGGAGGAGGACGACCAUGGUGGCCACUGCAUUGCUGCUUACUUCCUCUUUACUGCUGAUUACGGCCCCGAGCCCAACGCUCUCGAUCCUGUAAGUUCCUGUUUCUUCCCGCAAUUUCAUCUUCAUCAGAAAUCAAACUUUGAUCUUGUUACAAAAAGGGUAGCGAGAAAAUCAAAACUUAAUCUCUUGGUUCACAAUUUAAUUUCUCAGAUCUGCAAUUCGAGCUCACAAAUUUUGGGGUCUUUCCAUUUCGUGUUCGAUUUACAAUUGUUAGCUGUAGAAUGAAUGUGGGUUGUGUAACUGUACUAGUUUGGUAUACUUUGUUUUCGCUUUUCAACGAUUUUGUUCAUGUCUUUUUAGCAAAAUGAUAAUGCGAGUGAGGUUUUGGUUAGUUUUCUCUGCUUGUGUAGUUACCACUCUCUAAUUACAAAUGUUUUGGUAUUUGAUUGUUUACGACGAAGCCAAGGUUGCGAUUGUAAAAAGCUGCAGAAAAUGUGAUUUAGGAAUGCUCUUGGACUGCUAUACUGUGUAGAUUGUUGAGCACUUCUUUUUUCUUCCCUAAAUGUAGAGAGGAGCAUUUUUAAUCAGUUAGGAACGACGUAUUUUGCGAAAAUUGGUAGUUUAAGGUACCUUAAAGUACCUGAACCUAGUAACUCUACUUGCAUGAUCAAUAACAAGAACAAAACUGAAAAGGAAAAAAAACUUGGUAAAUCCUUGACUAGAUACCAAAGAAGGAGAGUUGGAUAUCUAUAAACUAGCUAAACCAAGUGAGGUGCAUCAAGGAUGAGGAUGGAAAGGUUCUUGCUACAGAGAACGCGGUUAAAGACAGAUGGAAAGGUUAUUUUCAUAAUCUUUUCAAUGAAGGACAUGAAAGGAGUGCUUCUUUAGGGGAGUUGAGUAACUCAGAAGAGUGUAGAAACUACUCUUUUUAUCGUAGAAUCCGGAAGGAAGAAAUGGUUGUAGCUUUGAAGAAGAUGAAACAUAGAAAAGCAGUAGGCCCAGACGAUAUACCAAUCGAAGUGUGGAAAGUUUUGGGAGAGACAGGUAUAACAUGGCUCACUGACCUUUUCAAUAGGAUUUUGAAAACGAAGAAGAUGCCAAAUGAGUGGCGAACGAGCACUUUGGUGCCUAUCUACAAGAAUAAGGGCGAUGUACAAAAUUGCAUGAACUAUAGGGGUAUUAAGCUAAUGAGUCAUUCAAUGAAGCUCUGGGAGAGAGUCAUUGAGCAUAGAUUGAGGCAAGAGACACGGGUUUCGGACAACCAAUUCGGGUUCAUGCCAGGGCGCUCAACCAUGGAGGCAAUCUAUCUCUUACGAAGAUUGAUGGAAAGAUAUAGAGAUGGGAAAAAGGAUUUACACAUGGUCUUUAUAGAUUUGGAAAAAGCGUAUGAUAGGGUCCCAAGAGACAUUCUUUUGAGGAUUUUAGAGAAGAAAAGAGUACGAGUAGCAUAUAUCCAAGCUAUACAGGAUAUGUAUGAAGGAGCAAAGACUGCCGUAAGAACUCAUGAAGGACAAACCGAAAGCUUUCCCAUAACUGUAGGAUUACAUCAAGGCUCAUCCUUAAGUCCUUACCUUUUUGCGUUGGUAAUGGAUGAGUUAACAGGACAUAUUCAAGAUGAUAUUCCUUCGUGUAUGCUUUUCGCAGACGAUAUAGUGUUGAUAGAUGAAACUCAGGAAAGGGUAAAUGCAAAGCUUAACCUUUGGAGAGAAGUGUUGGAAUCUAAAGGUCUUCGCCUAAGCCGAUCAAAGACAGAAUAUAUGGAGUGCAAGUUCAGUGCAAAUGGAGGCCAAAACGAGUUAGGGGUGAGGAUCGGAGAUCAAGAAAUACCAAAGAGCGACCGUUUUCGUUACCUAGGAUCUAUCUUGCAAAAGAACGGAGAAUUAGAUGGAGAUCUCAACCAUAGAAUACAAGCUGGAUGGAUGAAGUGGAAGAGUGCAUCCGGCGUGUUGUGCGACCGCCGUAUGCCACUGAAGCUCAAGGGAAAAUUUUAUAGGACGGCAAUAAGGCCGGCGAUGCUGUAUGGCACAGAAUGUUGGGCGGUGAAGCAUCAACACGUACACAAAAUGGGUGUAGCGGAGAUGAGGAUGCUUCGUUGGAUGUGUGGGCACACGAGAAAGGAUAAGAUUAGGAAUGAGGAUAUCCGGGGUAAAGUAGGAGUAGCCGAAAUUGAAGGAAAGAUGAGAGAAAAUCGGUUACGGUGGUUUGGACAUGUGCAAAGAAGGCCUACUGACGCUCCGAUUAGAAGAUGCGACCAUGAGACAGAGGUUCAGGGCCGAAGGGGUAGAGGAAGACCUAGGAAAACUUUGGAAGAGACCCUAAGAAAAGACUUAGAGUACUUGGAUCUAACGGAGGACAUGACACAGGACAGAACACAAUGUCGUUCUAAGAUUCAUAUAGCCGAUCCCACUCAGUGACUUGGAUUUUCCAAGUCUCCAACCGAGAAGUUUUCCUCACUCGGGAAAUUAAGGGAACACUACCUCAACCUACAUGCCCCACUCACAAAGCUUCAACAUACAAGCUUCAAUAAAAGAAAAUUCAAAGAACUUAGCGAAGAAGGCUUUGGUGUAUUUAACACAAUACGUUGAAAUGAAGGAAAGCUGAUUUAUUGAUAUCCCCGAUCAGUUACAAAUAUGUACAUAUACUUGAGUCAAAAUAAACAAACAAGAGGGAGCCUUCACAAAGGUUGCUUAGAAGAAGUCUCAGCAGUCGGUAGAGCCCCAGAAAGAGAAGGCACCGGAGGGGGAUCCUUCGGAGCCUCAGUACUGGACAGAACCCUAGAAGGAGGAGGCAUCAGAGGUUGAUCGUUUGGAGCUUCAUUACACGGUUCAGCCCCAGAAGACGAAGGCAAUAAAUGCCUUUGGAACAAACCCACAAAUAUCUGAUGAUCAAGUAAAACCUGACCAUCAGAUUCCUUCAUCUGGUCAAGCUUCCUCUUCAUGUUUGUAGCAUAGUCAUGUGCGAGCCGGUGCAACUAUUUAUUCUCAUGCUUGAGCCCUCUAAUCUCCUGUUUGAGACUCAUCACUUUAGUCGCCAAUGAUUCAACUUGGCGGGUUCGAGCAAAUAGGCGUUGGGCCAUAUUAGACACAGAACCUGCACACUGAACACUGAGAGCCAGAGAAUCCUUAACAGCCAACUCAUCAGACCGUUUGGAAAGUAGUCUGUUAUCUUUGUGAGUGAGAAGGUUCCUGGCCACUACCGCAGCGGUCAUAUCAUUCUUCAUCACGGAAUCCCCAACGGUAAGAGGACCAGUAGGGGAGACGAAGGAUGGGCGCCAUAUGUUGUCUGGAGAAGGCGGGGCUACCUCUUCAACAAGGUUCAAGUCAAAAUGACGGUCGGAGGGGCCAGACAUUUUCAAAGGUGUUGAAGAGAGAAGAGGUCGGACAAAUCAAGAUCUUAGAAGUGCAAGAAUGGAGCUUCUACUGGUGGAUAUUCAAGUGUGCUUUGGAACUUAAUGUCAGCCCCUAUAAAAAUCUGCACUCGACGAAGCUUCAGAAAUCGAAGAGGCGCCUGCUCAGAAAUCAAAGAGGCGUUUGUUUUCUCAAAAGCUGGGCUGCUCAGAGACCACGAGGGUCGAUCUCAGAAAUCGAAGAGGCGUUGGCUUUCUCAAAAGCUGGGCUGCUCAAAGACCACGAAGGCCGAUCUCAGAAAUCGAAGAGGCUUGCUUUCUCAAAAGUUGGGCUGCUCAGAGACCACGAGGGCCGAUCUCAGAAAUCGAAGAGGCACCUACUUUUCCAGCCUUGUCAGCACCUGUCACACGCACACUCAGCUUUGCGAAAAUUAUGGGCAUUCUGUCGAAGAUUUCUGGCGAAGUAGAAAGCACAUGAAUCGUACUGUUCAAUCACCCACUUCCCACACGCAACAGUAGCUCAUGGGUACCACAGAUAACUUUGCCAAAGUUCUCUGACAAAGUUGAGACACGUGAAGCUUGCAGCUCCCACUACAUCGCUCUGACCAAGAAGGGUAAAAGAAUAGCAAAGAAACAACACUACCAAAGUUUAGACACAUCAAUUUUGAAGGUCUAGCUACCAUAUUAUUACCCACAAGGGUAAAUGAACAGUACCACUGCUGGAUAAUUGGAAAGUCCCGGUGUGUCAACCUCUGUGCUUCGUGGCAAGGUAGACUAGCAAACAUGCCCAACCUUUACUCACAUUCGAGAAAACACUCCCAACAAGAUUGCUUGCUCCAAAAUCGAAGAGGCACCGUCCUCCGAAUCUCGAGAGCCAAACUCCCAACAUGAUUACUUUCUCAAAAAUCGAAGAGACACCGCUCUCCGAAUCUCGAGAGCCAGACCCCCAGCAUGAUUGCUUUCUCAAAAAUCGAAGAGGCAUCGUUCUCCGAAUCUCGAGAGCCAGAUCCCCGACAGGAUUGCUUGUUCGAAAACCGAAGAGGCACCACUUUCCCAACUUCAAGAGCUGGAUCUCCUUGGAUAAAGCUUGUCUGUAAUCUUCACACGCAACAUCAGCUUUCCAGAUACCACAGACCACUUUUUCAAAGUGCUCUGACAGAGUUAAAACAUGUGAAGCUGACAGCUCCCUCUACCCUGCUAUGACCAAGCAGGGUAAAGGAAUAGCAUUAUUACUUGAUGUUAGGGAGACUCCUAUAUAUGUCGACCUCCAUCCCCAACGGACAGGCAGACUUGCAAAAAUGCUCAACCUUUCCUCUUAUCUAAGAGGGCACUCCUAACGAAGCGUUUCGAAAUUUUCAGCUUUCUUUCCCCCCGAUAAUACCUCUGUAAACAAGCUAUACUAGAGCAAGAAUAUCUCAUAUCAUCAGGGUUAAAAGCAAGAGUAUCCCAUAUCAUGCUUUUUCCCUGUCUUUUCCUUUGGCCUUGUUCUUACCUGCAAGACAAGGAGAAAGAGAGCAAUCAGUCAGCACUUGGAAUCAAGCUUCCAGCCAGGAACUGACUGCCUGGAAUUACUUACCUGGCAUUGCUCUCAAGUACUCAUCUUCAACAUCUUAGGCUUCCAGGGAAGAUACCACAUCUGCCUGAGGAACAGCUAGGGCAAGUGAGAAGGAUACAAGGAAGCAUGUGGAGACAAGCGUAACAGCACACGUGCCGAUACAUCCACUACUCUGUCAAAAGCAAAAGUAUCCCAUAUCAGCAGGGUCGAACGUACUCUAGAUUUGAUGGACUUGUUUUGACCCUCAAAUUCUUCAGUCGGCCUUAUACUCUGGAGGAAACCAGAAAACCCUCCAGCCCAGUUCAAGAAUAAGCCUGUGGAAAGUUACUUCUUCAAAAGCAAAAGUAUCCCAUAUCAUCUCUUCUCAUUUUUCUUCUCUUUAUCCUUCAUGCUGCCUGCAAGAUAGGGAGAAUGUGAACAAUCAGCCGGAGCUCUGAUUGCUUACCUUGUCUGUCACCCCUUUCAGCAGAUACCCUAGCUCGGCGACUUGGGGGACUCCUACUACAUGGUUUGUAUCGCGCUUGACCAAGCCUGAAACUACAAGUAAGCUUCAAGUGAAAUUGAUACAUUACCUUGUGCAUCUCCACCAGUUACAGAUACCACCCCUGGAUGGAGGAAGAGUACUUCCAGAGAAGAUGCCACAUCUACCUAUGAGACAGAUAAGGCAAGUCAAGACGAUACCACACUCCGGUACUUAAGUUUCGUGGUUACGAGAUCAUUCUCCCACAAUAUUUCCUAAUGUCAUUUGUACUAAAUCAUUCACUUGUACUCACUAAAGGAGAGCUUGAACCUAUGUACUUGUGUGAACCCUUUACAAUUAAUGAGAACUCCUCUAUUCCGUGGACGUAGCCAAUCUGGGUGAACCACGUACAUCUUGUGUUUGCUUUCCUAUCUCUAUCCAUUUAUAUACUUAUCCACACUAAUGACUGGAGCAAUCUAGCGAAGAUCACAAAAAGUGACCGUUUUCGCUACCUAGGAUCUAUAUUGCAAGAGAACGGAGAAUUAGAUGGAGAUCUCAACAGAAGAAUAAAAACUUGGAUCUAACGGAGGACAUGACACAAAACCGAGUGCAAUGGCGUUCUAGGAUUCAUAUAGCCGACCCCACUUAGUGGGAAAAGGCUUUGUUGUUGUUGUUGUUGUUGUUGUUGCUGUUUUAUCUGCAUUUGUUAUCGUCGCUUACAGUUUUCUUUCGCUUGCAGUUCAUUGAUGCUGAAACAAUGGUUUCUCCAACAAUUUUUGCCCGUCGUAGUUUAUCUUUUCUCAUGAGUGACAAGCCUCAGGAACCUCUCAACGAAGCAAUGCAAGCACAAGUAGUUUCCCCAGUUUGGCACAUUGUAUCUUAUCUUCAGGGUGCUGCCCUUUCGGCCUUCUUGCUUGGAAGGACAGCUUUCUAAUGAUGAUGGUACUGAGUUGGCAUGGUUGGCUACACAAUGUAUACAAUCUGAACCCUGAGAGCGACCAAAUCCAAAGUCAUUAGUUGCUUCUUUGACUCCUCUUCAGAAAGAGACUGAGGUUAGUUCUCUCCUCUGUUUCUCUAAUUAAGCAUUAUAUUCCCAACUUUACCCGGGGAGCAUAGUUUGACUGUUUAAAAUCUUCACACAAUUGUUUCUAGGUCUAUAUUUUGGGGCAGUCUUGUAAGCAAUAUAUUCAUAAGUUAUCUUCUUUUCACUGGACUCAAUCUGAGCUAUUUGUGUAAGCUCGUAUCUAACUAUUGACCGAUUCAUUAGUUGUAUUAAUACUGAACCUUGUACCAAGCAGAAAUAUUUGAAAACUUGGGAAAAGGACAUGACUCUAAUUUGUUAUUAGUGAGGACUUGAGAGAGCUACACCUUUGUUUAGUGUCUUUCAUGGUGAAUGAUACUCUAUAAAAUAUCAAUCUCUUAUGCCCCAAAUUUGAGGGUAGUUAACUACAAGGGUUUUCAGUGAUACUAUACCUGUCGGGUGCCAAUUAGAAGCACUCAGAUCUACACCAUCGUAGUAGUUUAAUCAUAUAUAGUUAUUGUAGUUUAAUCAUAUAUAGAUAUUGUAGUUUAAUCAUGAUGCUGGUGGCUGUAUCCUGGACCUCCUUUAUUUCUUUUUGCUUACCUCUGCAGGUUCCUUCUUUUGUUUUGAUGGGUAUCCCACAUGGUACCUUCUGGUCUUCUCUUUCACAAGUCGGUGAUGCCUGCUCAAGAACGGAUAUGACCGCUAUACAUGAGAUCCUAGAGAAUAUCGGCUAUAAAGACGAUGGAAUGACAAAUGAGGUUCUUUAUUUUGUUUAAUUAAUGGAGAACUAUCUAAUAAGUUGUGUUUUGUAUAUAUAUAUAUUUAGCCUUCUCAAUAUUUACGUUCCACUGCAGUGCUCGUUCAAAUGUGGACUGACCAAAUGCAGGAAUGAUAAGAUUCAAAGAAAAUGGGGGAUUCUGCUUUUAAGCACUAGGACAUCAGAACCACAAUUGAGUGUUAUUCACAGGUUCUUAUUAUGAUACUUGUGGGAAAUUCUGAGUAGAGGUUUGAUAAGAGUUGCGCUCAUACCGAUAUCCGAAUUUGGCCUUCAAGAGGAUGUUCUUUAUCUGACCUGUUAAAAUAAAUUACCAAACACAGCUUCGUACAGAAUUUUUGUUUGGCAUUAGAUUUCCGGUCAGAACACUAUCAUUACAUUUUAUCUUCUGAUUCAUGAUAGGAAGAAUUGAAGAAAUGAAAUUGUUAGUUUAAGGUAUUUUUAAUCAGUCAGGAACGGCGUAUGUUGCGAAAAUUGGUAGUUUAAGGUACCUUAGAGUACCUGAACCUAGUAACUCUACUUGCAUGACCAAUAAAAAGAACAAAACUGAAAGAAAAGAAAAAUUAGUAAAUCCUUUUUAACUGCUGCUUUCUCUGCAUUUGUUAUCGUUGCUAACAGUUCUAUUUCACUUGCAGGUCAUUGGAGUUUGAACAAUGGUUUCUCCAACAAUUUUUGACCGGCGUAGUUUGUCUUAUCUCAUGAGUGACAACCCUCAGGAAGCUAUAAAAGAUGCAAUGCAAGCACGAGUAGUUUCCCCAGUUUGGCACAUUGCAUGUUAGGCUGUUGCCCUUUCGGCCCUUGGAAUGGUACUAUGCUUGAAUCCAAAAUGAGCAAAGCAGCUGGAUAGAAGUGAAACUCUAGGCCGCUCGACCAGGUUCCUAGCUUGCCACUUCUCUCGGUUUGGCUCUCAGCUUAUAUAGCCGUCGAUCGAUCAUAAGGUUUAAAACCACUAGAGCCAAAGCUUCAUCAUUUCCACGGUAUUAGAUUUUGUCAUUUUCCAGCAGUAUAUAUUGUAUUUGAAUUGUUUGUUUGAUUUGAUUUUCCGUGCGUCAAAUGAUUCGAGUAUAUGAAUUACUUUGACAAAAUAGAAAGAAAAAAUAGAAAGUUGUAAAAAAACACUGGUAGGGAGGAUGUCAUUCAUAAGCUUGUACUUUGUGUGCAGAAAGCAUAUAGGAUUCCUGGUGUAUCAUUUCUGAUUAAUAAUAAUAAUAAUUAGUUGUUAAACGUCGUCUGAUCAUUGAUAGACAUAUGUACAAGACUGCAACCAAUCCAUUGAACUAAAAUUUACGACGAACAAAACAAUCACAUGUAGUCCAGAAUUAACUGAAUAUCUUUAGUUCAUAUCAUGAAUCAAAACAUAUACUGCAGAAAGGUCUUGAUAAAGUAAACAUAAACAUAAACUUCUUACAAACAAUUAACACUUACAAAUCAUCUGUCAAGUAGAUUUAGUAGUAAAGUUCUUUAUUAUGACAACUCAAUACUUUGAAAACUUGUACAGAUAAUGGUUCGUGGAAGCUCUUUCAGUGAAGUGAGGCCGUCUACACUGUCUCAGAAGAUGCUGUAGAUAAAAAUAAACAAGCACAUGUAGUUAGGUUUUUAAGAAGACAGUGAAAUUAAUCCGAAUGACUUUACGAAUAGAUGCAUGCUUAUUGCUUAAUUUAAGAAGGACAAAUAAAAUCACAUUUACAUACCAUUGCUUAAUUGAAGUGCUGCUUGAUUGAAAUCACCGUCACAUAAAACCAAUCAUUCAAGACAUUCAAGAACCUGAAGUACGAGUAUCUCCAUGACCUCACAAAAAUCAGACUGCCACAAACUCCCCAAAAUCCAACAAUAAAGCCAAGCACCAUGCUGAUGUAAAAUUCCCAUGUUAUAGGCUCAUCCUCCUCUUCUUCGUUGCUCGAGAUUGGAGUUUCCUGUUGAUCACCACACAUCUUUGGAAGUGGAGGUCCGCACAACUGAGGAUUUCCAGCAUAAUCAGAGGGAUCAAAACUUUGGAGCUGAGUGCCAGUUGGAAUUUUGCCAAUAAAGUUGUUGUAUGACAAGUUCAAGACACCAAGACCAUAUAUCUGAGCAAGGCUUGUUGGAAUUCUGCCAUCUAUCUGGUUUCUUGACAAAUCAAGGGCAUCCAAUGAUUGCAACUUUCCAAUCUUUGCAGGUAACUCACCUGUCAAAUCGUUUCUCGACAGGUUUAAAGAAACUAACCCAACAAGAUCCGUGAUUUCACUUGGAAUCUCCCCCGUUAAUCUAUUGCUAGAGAAAUCAAUUCUCUUCACAAGUCCCAAAGUGUUUUUGUACGAGUACAUUCUUCCCUUCCAUAUAAAUGUUGCAUCAUCCAUAUAACUAACCCAAUAGGAAGUAUCAUCUCUUCUGUACCAAUGUCCAAUGGUCGGAGAAGAGUUUCCCUUCUGUGCCAAAACAGUAAAAUUGCUGAGGCAUUUUGGUAUUGUUCCAGAGAUGUUAUUCGCAGACACAUCCAAGUUUUGAAUGUUUGUUAGACGGCAUAGUUCAGAUGGCAUGCUUCCGUUGAAGUUAUUAGAGGAAAGCAUCAGGACAACCAAUUUCUGAAGGCUAACCCCUAACCAUUUUGGAAUGGGUCCUGAUAAUUGAUUGUACCCAACAUCAAGAACUUUUAAACUGGUGCAAUUCUUGAAGGAUGAAGGAAACUCGCCAACAAAUCUGUUGCUUCUUAAUUUCAAUGUUUCCAUGCGAUAUAGUGAGCCCACCGUGGAUGGAAUUUUGCCGGAAAAAGCAUUGUAACUCAAAUCAAGCAUGACUAGAUGGUCAAAAUGUGUCCAGCAUUGUGGAAGUUCUCCGGAGAGAUUGUUGUUUGAGAGAUUAAGAAACAUUAAACUCUCGUAUGCUUCACACAAGAUAGAAAUUGACCCUGAAAUGUUGUUAUUAGAGAGAUCCAAAGAUGACGCAUGCGAUAGAGUUGAGGGAAUUGGACCUUCGAUUUGGUUCGAACUCAAAUGUAUUUCAGGAUAAUAUGUAAAAUUCAUUGUCGAACUUGCAAACAUUUCUCCAAUUUGAUUAUUGGAAAGACUGAUAAAUCUCGCGUAACGAGUCGUACCCCAAAACCAGCUUGGAAGGAUAUCCACAAUUCCAGCAUCAGAAAUAUCGAGGGCUGAAUACUCAUUCUGAGUUUGAAGCCAUUUUGGAAAAUACGGACCCAUUUUGCAAGAUCCCAAAUAUAUAAACUUCAAUUUAAAUGGAGGAACCCAAUUAGAAUUGAAGCUUAAAACUAGCGAGUUAGAGGACAAAUACAAAUACCGUAAUUUGGAGAGUUGAGAGAAAUGGGUUUCCGAAACCACACCUUCCAGAUCAUUCAUACCCAAGUACAUAUACUCCAGAUUAGACAGUUGCCCAAUACUUUCAGGUAUUGUUCCACUCAAUUGAUUUCCAUCGAGAUAUAAUUCCUCCAGAUUAGACAGUUGCCCAAUGCUUUCAGGUAUUGUUCCACUCAAUUGAUUUCCAUAGAGAUCUAAUUCCUCCAGAUUAGACAGUUGCCCAAUGCUUUCAGGUAUUGUUCCACUCAAUUGAUUCCUAUAGAGAAAUAAUACUUUCAACGAUGAAAAGUUUGUAAGAUUAGGAAUUGAUCCAGAAAUAUGAUUGUAAGAGAGGGACAGAGACUCUAAUGAGUUUUGAACACAUGUAGACAACAUUUGAACAAACUCGGAAAACUGUCCACUCAGACUAUUAUUGACAAGGUACAGUGAUUGCAAACUGCAUAAGCUGGAAAAAGAAUGCGGAUUCACCGCGUCAAAUUUGUUAUAAGAGAGAGAUAGAUAGACAAGAGAGGUCAAGUUUUCAAUGACGCUGGGAAUUAAACCAGUUAAACUGCUGUUAUCGAGGCGAAGAAAGACAAGGCUAGCAUUGUAGUUUGACAACCAUAAAUAUAUUGAAGGAGAAGUGCAUUGGCUGUCAGAGAGUUCAACAUGAGCAAGAGAUUUUGAAGAAUUUAUGUUAAAAAGAGUACUGGAAUGGAUUACAGGAGAAGGAAGGCUACACUCCAGUAACGUCAAGUUUGUAAGUUUAGGGAGCUUACUAACUAUUUCCAGCCAGUCAUGAGCAUUACUGAGAUUGGUGCUACUCAGAUCCAAAUAUGUUAAAGAAGAAAGAUGAGGGAGCCAUGAUUUCAGAUUUUCUACACUGUUAAAGUCAUUCCCACUGAGAUCAAGAUAUUGCAAGUGGGUAAGGUUUCCAACUUGACUUGGAAAUCGACCACCAUAAGAAGCAUAAGAGAGAUCGAGUUGAGUAACAUGGUUGGUUCGGUUGCUGCAGUGGACGCGGACCCAUUUGCAACAAUCUUGCUUGUGUUCUUCUCUUCCCCACGAAGAGAGGAGAUUGUAGGGAUCCACGAGGCCGUGCUUGAAAGCAAGGAGUGCUUCUCUUUCCCUCUCAAAGCACCUCACCACUCCUUCCGAAGAAAUAUUUUUGAAUCCAAGGGAAAAGGAAGGGUUGACAGCACAUUGCAGUAAAGUGAACACCACAAUUAGAGCACGAAAGAGUUUCAUCAAGCACCUGAUUCUGUCACCCUCCAUCUUAAUUCAACUAAAUCAACCAAGAGACAAUUGAAGCACGAAAGAGUUUCUUUAGGAUUUUGAUUUUGGAGCAAAAGGAAAGCUGCGCAAGUGUAGUUCAAAAUGAACGGAGAAAAGUAUAAAUAAAAUAUCCAAUAAUUGUGAAGAAAAAAAACUCUUUCGUUGAAAGGUGGGCCUUCUGCAAGCACCUGAUUCUGUCACCCUCCAUCUUAAUUUUGUCACCCUCAAACACUAAAGCAAGGUAGGCCUUCAAGUACCAAGCAGAGGCAAAGCAAUAUACGAUCAAAAGAUAGUCACAUCUUUAUUCAGGAAUUAAAGUUGCCAUAAUUCAAGUGGGAAUGCAUUGACUUAAAUUAGUAAUUUAAAGUCUUGGUUCUUGGAAUUAUUCGUGUCAAAAGUUUAGGGUAGAUUGGUUACUGAUCACCAGCUUCAGAACAUACCCACAAUCUCAAGCUAGAAGGACUUAAGCGUGGCACCUAACUGUCAGCUGCUAUCAGUAUGGAUUUACAUAGGAAUUUACCAAUCGAGCACCAACGAGGACUGCUGGCAAUGAGACUCGAACCUUGGUAGGGCGAGACACAAAGCAGAGACCUUACAAACUGAGCCAACCCCUGUUGGGUCCUUGGAAUUAUAAGUUCAUAACACUAUAUUUGUUUUCACAGUUUUUAUUCGUUUUAAAUGUUGUUUGUCUUGGCCAUUUGGCAUGUGUGUGAUUUUCGUCCUAAUUUUUCAUGCUCAAAACUCUAUUUGGAAUUAUAAGUGCAGGACACAAUUAAACAACGCCACAAAGAGGCCACGCUCAAAACUCAAAAAAAAGAUAAUUAUUCAGAGAUGAUGCACAACUUAAGAGGCCCCUUGCUAAUCUUGGUCACAGUUGUACAUGAUUGAGGAUAGUUAGUAGCUUGGUCUUCAAUUGUCAUGUACAACAAGACCGUAAUACUGAAUGACAAAACUUUAUUUUAAGUGAAAUGUCUCUUUUAUAAGUGAAGAAAAAUACAACUAAAUCAUAGUACUAAAUAACAAAACUAUAUUUUCAUUAGAAAGUUUUCAAGAUAUGCGAUCUUAUAUAGCCUUUCUAUAUAGAAUGGUGUUUUUUUUUUCCUUCAAAAUAUAGUGCGCAAAAUGUCGACAUUGAGACAAGAAUAAUGUCAAAGAAAACAUUUCAUUGAAGAAGUACCAAGUCUUAUAAAUAACAGUUAAAAAAAUGAUUCUUACAAAUAACAAUUCAAAAAAAAGUUUCUUACAAUUAACAGUACAAGGUCCUAACCCAGCCUUCAAAGGAUAAUAAAAAGAGUUUCAAAAUUUUGAAUAAAAAUAAUUUAAUAAUUUUAGUUAAUUAAGACCAAAAAUAUUAACAAAAACACAAAUUAGUUUUCUUCUCUUUCUUCUCUCUCCCCCCUUUCGCUCUUCGGAUGAGGAUUCUCUCCUCCUUUUUUCCCAUCCACUCCCAUCCUCUUCCUGAUUGUGUGAUUACGAUUAAGUUACGUGAACAUUUUAUAUUGAUUUUUUUUAUAAAGAUAAUAAGAUAAAAAGACGUGAUUUAACCGUGACCACACAAACAGAGAAAUGAUGGAAGUGGAUGAGAAAAAAGGAGAGAAUCCUCCUCCUUCGUCUUCAGUCUUCACCACCUCUUUUCUUUUUCACCCAUCCCCUCUAUCCACCCGUGCCUCAUCUAUUUCUUCCUGGAUAAUAAAAAGAGUUUCAAAAUUUUGAAUCUUAAUUAAAAAUAAUUUAAUAAUUUUAGUCAUUAAUUAAGACCAAAAAUAUUAUAAAAAUAUUAACAAAAACACAAAUUAGUUUUCUUCUCUUUCUUCUCUCUCCCCCUUUCGCUCUUCGGAUGAGGAUUCUCUCCUCCUUUUUUCCCAUCCACUUCCAUCAUCUUCCUGAUUGUGUGAUCACGAUUAAGUCACGUCAAUAUUUUAUUUUAUAUAGAUAAUAAGAUAAAAAGACGUGGCUUAACCGUGACCACACAAACAGAAGAAUGAUGGAAGUGGAUGAGAAAAAAAGAGGAGAGAAUCCUCCUCCUUCGUCUUCAGUCUUCACCACCUCUUUUCAUUUUCACCCAUCCCCUCUAUCCACUGCCUCAUCUAUUUCUUCCUAGAUAAUAAAAAGAGUUUCAAAAUUUUGAAUCUUAACUAAAAAUAAUUUAAUAAUUUUAGUCAAUAAUUAAGACCAAAAAUAUUAUAAAAAUAUUAACAAAAACACAAAUUAGUUUUCUUCUCUUUCUUCUCUCUCCCCCCCCCCUUUCGCUCUUCGGAUGAGGAUUAUCACGAUUAAGUCACGUCAACAAUUUAUAUUGAUUUUUUAAUAGAGAUAAUAAGAUAAAAAGAUAUGACUUAACCGUGACCACACAAACAGAGAAAUGAUGGAAGUGGAUGAGAAAAAAGGAGGAGAGAAUCCUCCUCCUUCGUCUUCAGUCUUCACCACCUCUUUUCUUUGGACUUGGAUUCUCUGCCCUCCCAUUUCGGUGUCCUCCCCGUGCCCUCCUGUUUUGUAUGAUCACGGUUAAUCCAUGCUAACAUUUUAUAUUGUUUUUUAUAAAAAUAAUAAGACAAAAAAAAAAUAGUAAUAUAAAAUAUUGACGUAGCUUAACCGUGACCACACAAACAGGAGGGCAUGGGGAGGACACCGAAUUGGGAGGGCAGAGAAUCCAAGUCCCUUUUCUUUUUCACCCAUCCCCUCUAUCCACCCGUGCCUCAUCUAUUUCUUCCUGUCUCUCUCAUCCAUCACUUUCUCUCACCUCUCACUAACACAAAAAGCCAAGUCCCCACAUCUUAUCUUGUUAUAUUAUUAUUCUUUUAAACUCUCCCCUCACUUCCUUUUCACCCUUCACAACCUCUAUAUAUCGUAAUUAUUUUUUAUGAAUUUUUUUGUGAUUUGUGUACAAAAAGCAUAUACGAUUAUCAAUGUAUUAUUUUUUAUGAAAUAAAUAAUAGUUAGUUUAUUAAACGUCAUGGCAUCGUUAUUAGACAUAGAUAUAAGUUACUACUUGGAUUAAAAUAAUAAUUAGUUUAUUAUACGAUUCAUUCAAAGGAUACCACCCAAGAUGAAGUUGAGUAACAUGGUUGGUUCGGUUGCUGCAGUGGACGCCGACCCAUUUGCAACAAUCUUGCUUAUGUUCUUCUCUUCCCCACGAAGAGAGGAGAUCGUAGGGAUCCACGAGGCCGUGCUUGAAAGCAAGGAGUGCUUCUCUUUCCCUCUCAAAGCACCUCACCACUCCUUCCAAAGAAAUAUUUUUGAAUCCAAGCGAAAGGGAAGGGUUGACAACACAUUGCAGUAAAGUGAACACCACAAUUAAAGCACGAAAGAGUUUCUUCAAGCACCUGAUUCUGUCACCCUCCAUCUUAAUUCAACUAAAUCAACCAAGAGACAAUUGAAGCACGAAAGAGUUUCUUUAGGAUUUUGAUUUUGGAGCAAAAGGAAAGCUGCGCAAGUGUAGUUCAAAAUGAACGGAGAAAAGUAUAAAUAAAAUAUCCAAUAAUUGUGAAAAAUAUUUAUACAAGAAAGAUUAUAUUCAAACACCCUAAAUUACUGUUUUCUCAUUUUUUUUAAUUUUUUAAUAUUUUCUACACACCACUAUCAUUUGAUAAAAAAAUAUUAAAAAAUUAAAAGACACUAGUUGAUACUUAAUUUCCCACCUUCUCCUUAAUUUAAGGCACUAGUUGAUACUUUAUUUCCCACCUUCUCCUUGAUUUAAGGCCUUUGUUUCGCACUUGUUGAUGCUUUAUUUCUCACCUUCUGUUUCCCACUUGUUCAUACUUUGUUUCCCACCUUCUGUGACUUUAUGGUACAACAGUACGUAAUGAUGAAUAGUAAAGAAUAAAUGGACAAGAUUGAAAAUAGACUAUUCAAUACUUGUGGAAAUUUUUGUACAAUAAAAUAACCAAUGAUUCUCCUUCUCCAAUGUAUUUGUCAUUUCAUCUUAAACACGCACAAUCAAAAGUGGGGCUACAAGUAGCUAUCAGAGGCAAUACAAUAGGUGAUCAAAACAUAGGCAUAUCUUUGUACAAGCAUUAAAGUUUCCACUAUUAAAGUGGGAAUUGCAGAAAAUCAUGAAAAGAUCACUGUAGCCCUUCGUCCGAAAACCUCCGCCUUGUAGAUGUGGGGAGCGGUGUGGGUCUUCCGGGUUUGAUCUUAGCCAUUGCUUGCCCAGGUAAGUAACUACUGUGCAUAUUUGGCACAUUUGAACAGGAGGAAGUUAGGAAUGCAGAAAAAGCAAUUCAGAUUUUGGGUGCUUCCGUGUUGAACAAUGCGCAGGCAUGUCAUAUCUCUAUUUGAAAACUUAACAAACCUAUCAUGUAUAUGGGGGAGAGAGAGAGAGAGAGAGCUAAAAAUGUUUACUGAUGUAACCUCUGUUUGUAUCCAGUGGAAUCGCACAGCCCAUACGGACAUGUAUCCAGGAAAACAUGUAACCUCUGUUCGUGUCUAGCCAGCCUUUACCAGUGCUUGUUUCAUGUGACACACUUUAUGAUAUUCCAUUACCAUCCAAAGCAUAACUUAUUUUGUCAUCCAUUUUAUUUGAAUGAAUUACGAAACGUAAAUAAAACCGAAUGUAUACUUCAUACAUCUAUUUUCACGUGACAAGAAAGACAAUUAUACAGAGUUCUAUCUAAUUUCAUGUAACUUAUAUAUAUACUCGAUUUUAUGUAAAUUUUAACUCAAUAUACACCCAAUUUUAUGUAAGUUAAGAUGAUAAUUAUGGCCUUGCAGUUUAAUCUGUCAUAAAACACCCAUAUUUCCACCAGCGUUCAUGCAUUAGGCAAUAAAGUUACUUAUUAACCAAUAAAAGAAGAAAAAGAAAAAGGGGUUCGUGAGAGGCAGGAGCUGCUAUACCUGCAACAGGGAAAAAAGUGUUUUUUAUUCCCUUGAAACCUGUUGAUCUCUCAACUCUGCGUAUCAUCAUUACAUUGUGAAAGUGGGUUGACACCGCCCUUGUUGCAAAAAUAGUAUAAACAAUCGAACAUUAGGCUGACAACAGAACAUGCACAUUGCACACACUUUUGUUCUUGGUAUAAAUUGUGUAGGGAUGCCCAACAAUUCAUAAGACAACACACCCACAGCCGGAAGUUGGUCUCUACAAUGUUUAAUCCAUUGCAGAUAUAAAUCAAUAGAUUCUGGUCCCUUUUUGAUAUUCUGUAAAUCAAUUUUCAUUUGACCAAUACUGGUUCUUGUCAUAUUAGAGAAUCUUUCUUUGAGAUCAGUCCACAUUUCUCUAGAAGUUUGACAACCAAUAACAGAGGAUACAGCAUCAGUUGAUAAUGUGUCAGUGAUAAGAGUCAUUAAAGCUUUGUCAUGAAUCUUCCAAACCUUAAAAGCAUCAGCAAUCACUGGUGGAUUUUCAACAGUCUCAUUUGCAAAAUCAGACUCUACAUAUUUGUUUGGACAAGGUAUGGAACCAGUAACAAACCCAAGAAUUCCAUAUCCAUCUAACAAGAGUUCCAUUUGAAAAUUCCAUGUAACAUAAUUGGAAUCAUCAAGUUUUACAGUCACAGUGUUUCCAACACUGGGAAUCAACGAAGAGAUCGAUGACUGAGUAAGAGCUAACUGAGCAACAAUAACCAUUUUUAUAUGAACACACCAAAUCAACUAGAAAUUCUAGCAACAGACAAAAUCAUCAACUUUGCAAGAAUCAACACAUCGACAAUCGAAGAUGAACAAAUCAACAAUCAACAAUAAUACACCACAAAUCCAUCAAAUAGCAACAUGAUCUCCACCAAAGAAAGCAAGAAUCAAAGAAUGAAUCAAGAAUCAACUUUCAUUAUGCUUGCGCUCUCGUCAUUGUUGCCCUUAUUAAAUACAUUUUUAAAUUUUAAGAAUUGUUAUUAGCAUUUCAAAAUUUUCAUUAUGCACUCCAAACUUUUUAUAUUUAGAAAAAGAAAAUACACUUGUGAGUAGGGGUGCAACUCGGGGGACUUGAGCGGGUUAGAUGGUCAACUCAAUCCUAACCCAACAUUCCUAAUUCGGGUUUGGGUUCAUGGGGUUUUACUCAAGUUCGGGUUUAAGUUGGGUUCAGGCUUACUUGGGUUUGUCCAAUUUUACCAAAUUCAAUCUUCUAACACAUUUUUUUAUAAGAUAAAUCUCAAAUUUUGAACCAAAUAACGCGAAACUAUUUAAAAUUCAAUUUUACACAUCACCAUCCAUAAAAAGAAUAAACCAAAUAGUGUGGAACACAUUUCAAAAGUUUCAACCACACAAAGUUGAAAUUAAAUGGCAAGACAAUACCAACGUUUUAACCAAAAGUAAAGUAAAAGCAACAUUAUUGUUCAUUGUUCAAAUGAAAAGCAACAACAAACUCAAGUAUGGCCUCCAAAACUCGUAUCUAGCUUAUAUAAUAUGAAGUAGGACGGGUAAUACGUGCAUGAGCAAUUUGAGCUAGAAAUCAGAUUGGAUUUGGCUUGAAGCAAACAUCAACCCAACCCAACCCAAUAGGGUAGGUUUGAAAAACCGAAAACCGAAAAAUAAUCAAACUGAACACCGAACCGGAUUAAAAAAAAUCAAACCGAACUGGAUUAUAUUGGCUCGGUUUCGAUUUCAAUAGUUCGAAAACCGAACUAAACCGAAUUGAACCGAAUUCUAAACCCAUUUAAACGAGUUUUAUGAUACUUAACUAACCCUUACUAACUAAUACAUUACAUUGUGUACAUGUGCAAUUAGUUUAAGGAUUUGUUAUUGUUUUUUAUUGCCAACUGCUUAAGAUGAAAUGGAUUUUGGCAGGAGCCAAUUGCUUAACAAAUACACGGUAUGAAAUGGAUUCUAUGUUAAUUUCCCAUUGCAUAUAAUUAUUAGAAUUUAGUUUUUGCAUUACAAUUAUUUGAGGUCAGUGCCUUAUAUGACCAUGCAUUUUAAUUAUGUUUGGUUAUCCAUGUUAGCUUAGCUUGAUACAAUUAUUAGUAUCAUUUUUAUUUUUUUUUUGGAAAGUGGGAUCCAAAAGGAUCGCCAUCAAGGAGUUUUUAUUAAAACAAACACAAACUUAGAAACAAAACAAAUGCCUAAAUUAUUCCGAGAAACAAACAAAGAACAGGCCUAAAAACAAAGGAAACGCAUAAAAUGAGCUCAACAACAGUGAAGCCCAAACAAAAACGAACAUCCAAUAAACAUCCAUUGUGCUCUCCACCGCCAAUCUGAGAAGUAGUCAGUCAUCCAAUCCUCCAUACACCGCUGAUCAUCACCUCCACAGGCACCACCUGCACAUAGCCAUCAACAAGAGAUAGUCGGCGAGAGAGAAGCCAACCAUCGGAAAGAAGCUCUAAGAAAAUCUCGAGCAACAUUGCUGCGAACGGCAGACAACAAGGAGAACGUGGUGAUGUGGGAAACACCCGAGCCGGAUACAACACCAAAACUCUACACACGAACUCUACAGAAACCAUGGCUGAAAAACAAAGCACGGAAGGGCCAUGAAAGGGGAUACCUAUGGGGGUUGAGGGAUGGGAAAAGCCAGAAAGGAAAAGGAGAAGAACCAUCAGCAGAUGGAAGGGGAGAAGAAAGAAAAACAAAAGCAGAAAAACUAGAGGAAAAGGUAAAAGACCAUCAGCAGAUGGAAGGGGAGAAGAAAGAAAAAACAAAUACAAAAAACCACCACUGAUCUCAGCUACAGCUAGGAUCAGUGGCACCAAACGGAAGCACGAUCGGGAAAUCACUCACACAAUAUGGUGAGAAGCACCUUCAAACAAAGGGAAGAACUCUCACAAGGAGAGAAAAGAGGAAAGUUUCCCGGGUUAUCUCCGUUUUGGUUUUGGCAUUCCUCCACGCUCAUCCAUUAUUAGUUUCAUUUUUGGUACUGGAAUGUAUGCGUCUUCCCAUAUUUUUGGUAAUGGAAUAAACAUGCAUCUUCCCUCCCUUCGAAGUUUCAACAAUGCAUGCAUUAGUGAUAUAGUGUACCAUGCAACGGUGUUAGUACUUAUUGAGAAAAAAAAAUAUACAUACAUAUACAUAUAUAUAUAUAUACACACACAUACAGUGGCGGAUCCAGGAAAUAAUGUUUGGGGGGUCAACAAGGAUAGCGCGCGCAGCGCGAAGUUUUUUUUUAACAGAAACGGCAUGCAUAUCGUCAUUUCAUCGGGUCUUGGUAGGAUAGCGUGAUCAGCCUCUCGCCGAUAGUUACCAUACUGAAAGGUGCCUUCACUUUCCCUGACAACAAAAAAUAAACAUAAAAUUGGGUUGGAUGGUUCAUAAUAAACAUAAAAUUCUGAUGUCAAUAUGGUGGUUCAUAAUAAUAUUUUUUAGAGAUCAUAUUAAUUUAUGUUGAAUAUAAAGAGAAAUAAAGUUGUUAAAUAUGUGGAUGUGGAAAGGGCACACACAUCAUUACCAUUAAUUUAUGUCAAAUAUGUGGAUGUGGACGCAUGGGAACUUUGCAAUCUGCACCAAGACUUAAUGGUGACAUCUUCAACUUGACACACGAACCGAACUGACAGCCCAUGGCUUUUUACACAAAGCAAGCAAUUUGAUGCUAGCUGUACAAAUUUGAUUGGAGAGAAACUAAGAAAAAAAAUUAAAUAAGAAGAGUGUGUGGUCACGUGGUGUGAAAGGAAGAGAGAGAACGUCUUCGUCUUCCUCUUCCGCCAAACCGAACGAAAACCAGAAGAAACCCAGAAAAAUGCAGCAGCUCCAAGAGGUCGCACCAGCAACUUUAAGGGAUCGCACCAGCAGCUCCAAGGGACCUCUAAGGUUAUUUCCAUGGCUUCCAAGGGGUCGUGCCACCCCAUUG